rnacentral:lncRNA from 1 species
GAAAAUGGAAGUGCCGGAAUGCUACUACGACUGUUUGUAAUGUUAUUAUGUGUGUGUUCAAUAAAACAUAGGUCAAGGGUAUCCUUAAUGCUAGUAACCUACCUACUAAUGCUAUUAGUACUUGGUAAUGUUGAAAAAGAAAAGCCGGGAUGCUACUACGACUGUUUGUAAUGUUAUUAUAUGUGUGCUCAAUGAAACAUAGGUCAAGGUAUCCUUAAUGCUAGUAACCUAGCUACUAAUGCUAUUAUUACAUGGUAAUGUGAAAAUGAAAUGUCGGGAUGCUACUACGACUGUUUGUAAUGCUAUUAUGUGUGUGGUCAAUGAACAUGGGCCAAGGUAUCCUUAAUGCUAGUAACCUACUUACUAAUGCUAUUAUUAUUUGGUAAUGUUGAAAAAGAAAGGUCGGGAUACUACUACGACUGUUUGUAAUGUUAUUAUGUGUCAUUAACAUCAUCUUCAUUAUGUACAUCAUCUUCAUUAUGUACAUCAUCUUCAUUAUGUACAUCAUCUUCAUUAUGUACAUCAUCUUCAUUAUGUACAUCAUCUUCAUUAUGUACAUCAUCUUCAUUAUGUACAUCAUCUUCAUUAUGUACAUCAUCUGCAUUAUGUACAUCAUCUGCAUUAUGUACAUCAUCUGCAUUAUGACCAGCAGCAUUAUGUAAAUCAUUAGUUGAUUUAAUCCCAUCGAUCUGUUUCUUCAUUAGCAGCAUCUUUUUCUUCUUUCCCAUCAUCUGAAGUCUUUUUCUCAGCAAUUUUUUCUAGGCUUGCAUAAACAAUUUCAAAACUUUUACCCUAAACAAAAAACUCUAGUAACAAUCCAGUUCAAAUUUAGAAACAAAAAUUUACCUUCCUUAAUCACUGAUUUAUCAUUGUCAAAUCGAACUUUUUUUACUUUUUCUUGCUAUUCGGAAUUUCUCGACAUAUUUGUCCACCGUAUUUAAAGUACUAAUACUAUCCGAUUUACCGCUCGAUAGUUUAGAACCACGACAUAUUGGAGAUUGCACGAUUUACCGCUCGAUAGUCUAGAACUAUCCGAUUUUUAGCUCUUGUAUGAGCUAAAAAAAAGGAAGAAAAUGUACCUUACUCUGCCCAAAACAAAAAGUAAAAAAUGAAACAGGACAGAUCGGAACCUCCUCACACGGUGUAUUUCAUCACACAUAGAAGAUAAAAAUUACUGUUUGCUUAGUAAAAAUAACCGCUAACACAUCAAGAAAUACAAGCAACCAAAUGUACUUUAUUUUAGACACAAAACAACUUCUUCCUCAAACCCAACAAUGUGGAUCGCAAGCCUUCAACUACACCCAAAAACAAAUUUCGAAACAGAGUAUAUAGAACAACUAUUUAAAUAGAGGAAAAAAAUUAUAAAACUAACCGAAUAGACGCGACUGCCAAAGUGAAUCGACGCCGGAAACGCCGUUAGGGUUUCGCUGGAUUUUUUCGUCGAGAGCAAAUCGGGUGGGGGAAAAUUAGUUGUUUUCGGUGAUACUCAAACUAUUGGAUAAUGUUAGAAAAAUAUAUGAUUUGACUGAUAAAUUGCAGAGUGUAUGAGGUGACACUCGUAUACCUACUUUUGAAAUUUCUCCUAGUCUACUACUAGUCUAUUAACAGGUUGCAAAAAAAUUUGUCCGGUAACACAGGUUUCCAAAAAUUAACACACAAUGAAAUUGAUUUUUACCUACCGUCCAUUUUCAUUUAAUCAAAUAGACGGCCCGAAUCAACAAAGGUUUGCAUACGAACCAUUCAUAGAUGGCCGUAUUUAUUUAAAGUUAGUUUCAGUCAAAAUAAUCCUUCGACUGAUAAUGCAUUAAUCAUCAAUAACUAGACUCUAUACAACGACGUUGUAUUCAUCAAUACGUUGUAUGUUACAUUAUCUUUGAGUUAUACAUAUUACUGUAUUACGUUGUAUGACGCAUUUUGGCACAUCCAGUUUUGACGCGCCUUAUUUAUUUAAUGUAUCACAAGGUUAUUACAAGGUCUGGAUUCGACCUAUCAUUGAUUUAAUUAAACCAUUAAAACUUUUAUGUUUUGGUUCUUAGAUUUUUGAAAAAGUCUAAAAUAAAUUAUAUAUUAAAUUUAGAUCCUUCUUGGUCUUUUUAUUCCUUUACUUGGCCGCUUACAAUUCGACUAAUUUUUUUAAAAAUAUGAAUUUUGCACAAUUCCUUAACGAGCCCGAAUUUAGGAAUUUUUAAAGAGUCGAGCCUGAGUUCGGCCAAAUCAGGCUCGGCGAGCCCAAACCUGUAUAACUUAUUAACGAGCCGAGUCCCAAUUCGACCAAACCAUGCUCGGCGAGCUCGAGCCUGGAUAACUCAUUAACGAACCGCGCGAGUUUGAAUCCGAGCCUGGAUAACACCUUAACGAGCCGAGCCUGAGCCCGAGCUUGAAUAACUUCUUAACGAGCCGAGCCCGAGCCUGGAUAACUCCUUAACGAGCCGAGCCCGAACCUGGAUAACUCCUUAACGAGCCGAGAGCUCGAGCCUGGAUAACUCCUUAACGAACCGAGCCCGAAUCCGAGCCUAGAUAACACCUUAAUGAGCCGAGUAUGAGCCCGAGCUUGAAUAACUCCUUAACGAGCCGAGCCUUGAUAACUCCUUAACGAACCAAGCCCGAACCCGAGCCUGGACAACACCUUAAUUAACAAGCCGAGCCUGAGUCCGAGUCCGAGCCCGAGCUUGAAUAACUCCUUAACGAGCCGAGCCCGAGGCUAGAUAACUCCUUAACAAGCCGAGCCGGGUCUGGAUAACUCCUUAACGAGCCGAGCCCGAGCCUAGAUAACCCCUUAACGAGUUGAGGCCGAGCCUCGAUAACUAUAUAUUUAACAAGCCGAGCCCGAGCCUGGAUAACUCCUUAACGAGCCGAGCCCGGCUCAAUAAGCCAAAGCUCGGCUCUGCUCAGCUCGUUUGACACCCUAAUUACAUCGAGCUCGCUGAGCCUGGAUAUAACUCAUUAACGAGCCGAGCCCGAGCCUAGAUAACCCCUUAACGAGUUGAGCCCGAGCCUCGAUAACUAUAUAUUUAACAAGCCGAGCCCGAGCCUGGAUAACUCUUUAACGAGCCGAGCCCGGCUCAAUAAGCCAAAGCUCGACUCAGCUCGUUUGACACCCUAAUUACAUCGAGCUCGCUGAGCCUGGAUAUAACUCCUUAACGAGCCGAGCCCGAGUCCGGCUCAAUAAGCCAAAGUUCGACUCAGCUCAGCUCGUUUGACACCCUAAUUACAUAUCAAGAUUAAUCUCGAGAUUAGCAUUUUUGAAGAGAGAGAAAAAAAAUUUAGGAUGAAAUGAAUAAAUUGGGCAGAAUGAUAUUAGCAUUUUUGGUGUCGACUCAUUUGAAAAUUAUUCAUUAUAAAUAUUCAACAAAGUAGUAGGUAGUAGCUAGUAGCUAUUAGGUUUUCUUCUUCUUAACUACUUUUAGGCUUUAAUGGAGUUGAUCCAACAGCUUUAAUUCUUCUCCAAAUAUAUAACCAUUUAAUCCUUCAUGUAGUCAGAACAUAUAUCGAUUGCAUCAGAAAUCACUCAAAUCAGAUAUCGAUCGAUGGAAAUAACAAUAUUCAUGUUUUUUCUUGCAAUCCUGGCCUUCGUGGCUUCUCCUUCCAUGGCGGUUGAUUACCCAAUAUCAUGGACCCAAGGAUUAGAUUACUCCACAUGGAGCACCGGCAAGACCAUUAAUGCCGGCGAUACUCUAAGUAAGCUACUUACCUACUCUCCGAUCAUCAAUAUAUAUUAAGUAAGCUAAUUACGUACCUAAUUUGCAGCAUUUACAUACAAUCCCUCUCUCCAUUCUGUUGACGAAUUAUCAUCCAAAUCGACCUACGACAAUUGCAACACCGCGGGUGCCAAGUCGGAAAAUAGCGGUAACACCAAGAUAACUCUUGACAAACCAAACACCACUUACUACUUCGCCUGUGGAUUCUCCGGUCACUGUGCGGCGGGAAUGAAACUUGCCGUCACUACUUCUGAUACAAACAAUAACAAUCCAACUUCUUCCCCAGCACUGUCACCGGACACUAACAGUGGGUCGACGAUUAAUGCUCCACCAAUUACAUCGUCAACUGCUUCUUCUUCCCCACCGCCACCGACUGGAUCUGGGGAAGUUUCUUCUUCUGCUGCUGCCGUCGGAGUGAAGGCUGGCUUCGUUGUGAUGCUAGGUCUUGCACUUGUUGCCUAAAUUAAAGAAUGAUUUUAUCAGGCAUGCACUGCUUUUAUAUAUAUAUAUAUAUAUGUUUAAUGUUUAUGUAUUUUAGCAAACUUUAAAUCUGGGACCAACAGAAAUUGCAAUUUGAAUUUACUUUCAUCUGAUUUUAAUAAUCUACCUACUAAUUACCUGCCAAACUAACCUGCUUCUUUGUGGAACCCAGAAGCCGGCGAUCUUCUGAUCUUUUCUUGAGUUGUGAACUAAAGUUUAUGGUAAUUCAACAUGUGAAAUUUUGGUACGAUGAAUUAUUAUGUUGUAAAAAAACAGUAUUUGUAAAACCUUAUUUGCGUAAGUUAAUUGGAAUUCAAUAUGUGAAAUUUUGGUACGAUGAAUUAUUGAGUUGUGGAAGAACAGUAUUUGUAAAACCUUGUUUGCGAAAGUUAAUUGAAAUUCAACAUAUGAAGUUUUAGUACGAUAAAUUAUUGAAUUAUAAAACAAAAGUAUUGGUAAAUCUCUGUUUACGAGAAAUUAAUGAUAAUUCGACAUUUGAUUUUUGAAAACGAUAAAUUAUAGAAUAAUAAAACAAUGGCUUCAUAAGUAAAAGAGAAAUAAGUCGGUUAAAUAAAGAAUAACGAGUUCAUAAAUAAAAGAGAAUGAGUCGGCUAAAUAAAAAAAGAAGUGAGUCGGUUAAAUAAAAAACAACGAUUUUAUAAGUAAAAAAUGAUUUUGGUAUGGUUUUGUUUGUUAAAAUUUGAAAAUGUCUGGACAUAGACCCAACUCAGACCCAUAAAAAAUCCGAAUCGGAUCCAGACCUAUUUACAACCCUAAUUAUAACCAACAAAAAUCAACAUAUACUUCUACAAACCACUGAACUCUUUCGACUUAUAAGAUCCUGAUUUAAAUUAAUUGAUUUGAUGGUAGGGGUGAAAAACCAGGUAUAAUACUUAAUUUUGCUCAUCUUUUAUAAUUUCUCUGGGAAAACUCAUUCUAUCAAACCAAUUUACCCCAUCAAUCAAAUUCUAAAAUCAAGAAAACAAUUCAUACAAACCAACUUUGAACUCUCACUACCGUUUCUAAACCACCCUUAGAUAUCAUAGAGGAUCGUGAAGUGAUCUCAUUUAUUAUAUUAAUGUUUGGACGACGGAUCUUACUUAGAUAUUAAAUCGGAUCUUACUUAGAUAUUAAAUCGGAUCUUAUUCGGAUCUCCAAUAAGAUCGGAUUUCUUUUGAGUUAUCAGUUGACAAAAUAGUCCCUAUUGUAUAUUCUUUCCCACUCCAACGGUCAAGUUGACCGACCGUAAAUCCGCACCACAGUGGAUUAGAUUCCAUACUCAACGGUCAUUUUCAUCAUCCAUCUGGUCCGCUCAUUUCUAAUCCAAAGGAUGUAGAUCUUCAUCACAAACGAAAAAUAUUCCUCCCCCGUUGGAAGAAGACCAGCAGUCUAUUAACAUUUAACCUUAACCCUAACCAGUUUAGGUUAGAGAGAGAGAGAGUGUGUGUGAUAGUUAGAGAGAGAGAGAGAUGAGGGUGGGUAGGAUUGGAGAUUCAUUGUUUUGAUUUCUGUCAAUGGAUUUUUUUUCUUUCUUUCUUGCCAGUUUCUUAUUUGUGGGUUUUCUUUUCUCUGUUUUUGUUUUUGUUUUUAAUUUUGAGUUUUUGCUUUGAAUUUUUUGAUUUUGAUUUUGGUUUUGGUUUUGGUUUUGGUUUUGGUUUUAUUUUGAUUGUUUUUUGGGUAGGGGUUUGUUUGAUUUUAGCUUCGGUGUUCUUAAAUUCUUUGAUUCUUUUGUAUUUAAAUCGAUAAAGAAAAAUAUAUAGAUAGGUAGAAGAUUGAUAGUUAUAUACAGGAAAAAGUGGAGUUGCUUCAAGAAGGAGUUGCCGGAGGAGGAGGAUGUUGGCGGGUUGCUCAUCGGCGAUAGCGUAUUAUCAUCAAAACCAGAGUUCUUCUCAGAUGAGCAGUGGUACGCAGAGAUUUGACAUAACAUGUGGUUUUACUCCGAGAAGAGAAGCUUCAAGGAUCAACAUAGACGAACGACGAAAUACUAAUUUGGGUUUUAGAGAGAACUACCCAACUACGACUGCGGCGGCGACGGCACUUGUGGUUAAAUCUGUGGCGCCAUGGGAAGCGAAGGUGGAGGUUGAAGAUGCGAAAAAAAAGAGUUUGAAGCGGUUUUACUACCAGCAGUUUCUAGAAGAUGACACUGACGACGAGGAUAGCGGUGGAGUUGGAAAGUGUAGGAGGAAAAGGAGUCGAAGAAGUCAGUUGGCAGAUGAGGAUGUAGCUUUCGAAGACGGUGGUGGGUUUUUGGGUAUGCCGUCUACGGCGGCCAUGGUGCAAGGGAGUUUAAUAAAUCCAACAGGGAAUAACGAGGAUGGAGAUUGUUCGUCGGAUGAUAAUGAGAACGAGAAAGAGAUCAGGAAUGAGAAUGAGAAUGAGAACGAGAACGAGAACGCCGUCGUUGAAAUGACGACAACCUGUGGUGGUGUCAGUGGAUGUGGUUCGCCGAGAAUGGAACGGCAAGGUUUGGAACUGAUGAGUUUACUAAUGGCGUGUUUGCAAUCAGUUGUGUCGAAAAAUAUUCCGGCGACGAACUACUUCAUAUCAAAGCUUGGCGAGCAUGCAUCGCCGUACCAGACUUCGAUCCACCGUUUGGUUUCUUACUACACUGAAGGAUUAGUCAUCCGCAUCAGUCGUCUCUGGCCGAAUUUCUUCUGCGUGUUCCCUCCAGCCAGUGUUCUUGACGCCGGCGAAUAUGACGACGACGGAGCCACGGCGGUCCGAUUACUGAACCACGUAAGUCCGAUACCCAAGUUUCUACAGUUCGCCAUGAACGAGAUGAUUCUAAGAUCGUUCGAGGGUAAGGACAAGCUCCAUAUCAUUGAUCUGGACAUCAAAGAAGGUCUCCAAUGGCCAUCUCUCUUCCAGAGCUUAGCUCAUCGGAAAAUCCCACCUGCUCAUCUGAGAAUCACCGGAGUUGGGCAUUCCAAACAACAACUCCAAGACACCGCCACGAGACUUGCCGGGUUCGCUGAUAUUUUGGGCCUUCCGUUUGAGUUCCAUCCCGUGGUGGAAGUGUUGGAGGAUGUCAGAUUCUGGAUGCUCCACGUCAAACCUGGCGAGUCAGUCGCGGUAAACUGCCCUAUGCAGUUACACACGGCGGUUUCUGACGAGACGCUGCAGAACAUUUUGACUUUAAUCCAAACUACCGAUCCAGGCAUCGUCGUUGUUUCCGAGGAAGAAGCUGAUCACGACGACCCACGUUGGGAGAUGAGACUCGUCUCUUCUCUCCCUUACUACGCCGCCGUCUUCGACUCCAUCGACGUCUGUCUACCACCGGCGGCAAGCCCAGCACGGGUCAAGAUAGAAGAGAUGUACGGGCGAGAGAUCAGGAACUUGGUCAGCUGUGAUGUGGGUAGCCGUUACAAGAGCUUUGCUAAGUGGGAAAUCAUUCUAAAGAAUAUCGGUGGACGUGGUGGGUUUAGGAACGUCGGAGUUUCACUGACGGAGGUCGACCAGAGUACAAUUCUUCUGAAAAUGUUCUCAUCCUCCGGGAAAAAUUUCAAAGUUGGCGUGCAAGGAGAUGCCAACGCCACUGGAAUCACGCUUUACUGGCUAGAUCAACCUCUGUACACUGUUUCAGGAUGGGUGCCGGCAAAUACCGCUGCUAGAAGCUCCGGCGAUGGAAAUUGAUACAAAGUAAAAGAAGAUAAAAUACAAAGAAGAAAAGAAAUCAAAAAGCAAAAGUCAACACUCAAUAUUCAACCCGGUUAUUUAUUUAUUUCAUUCAUAUAUUUCAUUCAUUUUUUAUUAGUUAUUACAUAUAUUAUUUUUUAGUUAUUAUAUUUAGUUAUUUUUUCAAUCAGUAUUUUUAAUUUUUUUUGUAAUAUUUAUUAUUUGUUGUAGAAGAAUUGAAAAUAAAAUUAUUGAUUUGUUUAUUUAAAAUCCAAAAUAUUUUUAUUAUAUUUUAUUAUUUUAUAUUCCGAUAAAACGGUUUAUUUGUUGACAAUUUUUAAUUUUUAAUUGAAAUAGUAUUUUUUAGUUGUUUUUUAUUAAAUUUGGAUUUUUUUUUUGUCUCCUAAUAAAUGCUUGGAUAGACUUACCUGUUAAAUGUUUUGUACGGCUCAUCAUACGUCUAUUAUUCACCAUGUCUAAAAUCAUCCAAAAAUAUUGUGUACGGCAUAUUUUCAUUCAUAUCUAUUUCCUUCCAUUUCAUUCAUUCAUAUCCAUUUUUUUGCAAUCUACAUGCUCUAUUCGUUUACAAUGUAAGUGUUUCUGUCUGAGUUGCGUUUUUUUUAUUCUUGAAAUGAGGUCCGGUUGUCUUUUUAUUUUUGAAGUAUGUUCUACUCUGCAAUUGAAAUAUGUUUUACUCUGCAAUUGAAGUACGUUUCCAUUGAAGACUUUUGGGAAAAAAACUGUCAUGACAAGACAGUUCAACACUACAUUCAUAGACUUUUACAUCUACUAUCUAUUCUACACUGACACACAUUCCUACAACUACUUACCUAAGACCAUCUAAUAUUCAACGUAUAUUAUAUAAACAUGUCUUCAAUAACUAAUUAAGUAGGGACGGUUUUCAUUCAAUCACGUUGAUCGAAGGGUCAGAUUUCAUAAGGAUAUUGCACUGGAAACCUGCCUAUUUAAAUAAUUAAAUAUUAAACGAACGAAUCGAAUAUUAUAAAUUUUAAACGAACUGAAUCCGAACAGUUCGGUUAAUUAAUUAAACCGAAUACAAACCCAAGGUAUACUCAUUUUUUAAACGAAUCAAACCGUAUUCAGUUCGGUAGACUCGGUUAACAUCCUUAGAGGUAGCAAUAACAUACACGAUGUAAAAAAAUACGAAACGGCACGUUCAUAAUAGUGUCGGGUUUAGUGUUUGAUUCGCGGUUCUGUAAUCUAUUCAUCACACACAUUCAUACCAAUGCUGCUAUGUCAAACUAUUUAUUGGUCAUAUCUAUCCAUUUCAGUCAACAGUUGGAAAGCUUCAUCCAUCUCCCCCAAUCUACAUAAGCUGUAAAUUAUGGUCGUGUAGGUAACUUUAUCAGGCUUACACCAAUGCAUCUUCUUAUUUAUUCCCAUAUUUCUAAGCAACUCGAGAGCAGCCUGAGUAUCUCCAACGCGACAAAGACCGUUGAUGAGUGUGGUGUAGGUUACAACAUCUGGAGAACAACCCAGUGACUUAUUAUUCUUUUGCAUCUUCUCAACAAGAACACCAGCUUCUUUCACUCUCUUCAUCGAACACAGACCUUUUAUCAAAGAGUUAUAACUAAUAAUGUCGGGAAAACAACCCAAGGGCCAUUUACCAUGCAUCUUCUCAACCAGAACAUUGGCUUCGUCGACUCUUUUCACGGAACAUAGGCCUUGGAUCAGAACAUUGUAGAGUAUGAUGUUGGGGCAAUAUCCUGUUUUAAGCAUUUCACCAAACACUCCAAAGCCCACAUCAACAGCAUGAGUUUUCUUACUCCUGCAAUACCCAUUGAUUAAUGUACCAUAUGUGAUGGCAUUAGGUGCCAAACCCAAUUCAGGCAAUCUACAAAACAAAACUGUGGCUUCCACAAGUUUUUCAGCUUGGCAGAGACCAUGGACGAGGGAGCUUAAUGUUAUAAGAUCCGGUGUGUUACCAUCCUUGACGAGCUUUGCAAAAAUCCCAAAUCCCAACUCAAACAAAUUGUUCUCAAAACAGUAGCUUAUCAUUGUGUUGUAUGUGAUCAAGUCAGCUCUGCAACCCAUAUCAAGCAUUCUUCUUAACAGAUGGAUUGCAUCCAAGAUUUUCUUUGAUUUGAAAAAACCAUAAACCAAUGUGUUUAAAAUGGAUACGCUUGAACUACACCCUGCCUUCAUCAUAUAUCCGACAACUGCUAAUCCUGAUUCGAUUCGAUUGAUUUUUUGAUAACAACUUACUAGACUACUGUAAGUGAUCACGUCUGGUGUACAUCCCAUAUCAAGCAUUCUAUCAAACAGCUCCAUGGCAUCACUCACUCUAUCACGUUUACAUAACCGAUCAAUCAAACAGUUGAAAAUCACAACGUUUAUAUUCCAUCCUCUCUUGAUCAAAUGACCCAGAAAUCCAAACCCCAAAUCCAACUCACCCAUGUGGCAGCAACUGUCGAUGAUGAUUCCAUGUGUGAACACGUCUGGGUAAAAAACAUCAGCACACAAAGACGUCUUGUAAAUCCAGAGCAAAAACGGAUAAUCUUUAAACUUUUUUACACUGGCCAGUAAGCUAUUGAAAGACCAUAUCGUUGGAGGAGGAUUUGAGCUGAGCAUUACAUCGAAAAGCUUCAAUGCGGCAAUUUUGUUGAAAUUUUGGGAGUUACAUCGGAUCUGGACGUAGAUGUCAACCUCUCCAGAUUUUUUAUAACCAAUCAAAGAUAUGGGUGUUCUUGGACGUAGAAAGACAUUGCGAAUGGCAGCCAUGGAAGAAAAGAAAAACAACCACUCACCGUGAUUCUCCCUCCAAAACCAUCAUCAUAGAUUCAUAGUCAUAGACGAAGACGAUGGAAGAAAUGAAUACUGGAGGUUUAAGAUUUAACGGAUUAUCGAAAUAUAACCGAUUAUAAUUUGGAUCCGAUCAACGCAGUUACCGAUUAUCUAUGUAAUUACGUCAUUAAUAUCACUAAUAUCAGACAUUGAUUUAUUUAAACACACUAAUCGCGAUAUACUAGAUGCUGACAUGGCAUAUGGGAUUGCCCAGAAUAGACACGCUGCCGUGAAAGCCUUUCUUCAUUCCGACGAGAAGACCACAACCGACGUGAAUUUCAUACCACCGGCUCUGGAAGGGGAUGGAGGAGUACUUCACUCUGCCCAUGACUAUAACCUUCAUCCCCAUCACUCCGACUGACUUCUCGUUCGCUAAGCCAGCAGCAACUUCCUUCGGCACGGAGACAAGACCUCCGCCAACAACCGGCGACGCAGCCACAGUGGUUUUCUCUCGGAGAAUGAUCGGGAGGAGCGGCGUAGGUGGUGUGAUGGGGUGAUUGUGGUAUGUGAGGAAGACUACAAGUCGGUCGUGAGUGAUGGACGUUCUGUCGUUUGGAUUAUGGACGACGAUAGUGAAUUGAGUGUUGAUUGAGAUUUGGUUCACCGGCGCUGAGGUCGAGUGAACGUUGAUGUCGUAAAUAGACAAAGCCUGGAUGGAGAAUUCCGGCAAUGACGGACGGUAAACGAAGUAGAGAGUGACUGCGAUUACAGCAGCCACAACGAUUGCGAUGCCGAUGAAGUAGUAAAAGUAUCGGACGUGUCGAUUUUUUCUGUCUUCGUCGUCUUCUCCAUCACUCGGCUUCAUUAGUUUUGGUUUCUCUUCAUCGCCGGACAUGAUGAGUUUCUGAGGUAGAAGAGAGAUGAGGUCGCCGAUUAAGGGUAGAAGGUAAAUCGUGCGUAUAUAUUAUAUAUAGACGGUGCCCGGUGGACGGUGGUGGAAGAUAUGUGGCGGCCACCGGUAACUACGGUGCGUUGGACAGCGCCGCUUAGAGAGUUAGAGUUAUGUGGGUUCCACAUUUCCACCGCCAAUUUAAUCCAACGAUCAUAAAUUCAUCGGAAAUAGAAAGGUUGAAAUAAAAAAGUAGUUGAAAUUCAAACAGAAAACUGCCAGCAAUUUCUUCAUAAAACCCUAAAAUCGCAUGGGAAAAAAUUGACGACGACGACAAACAAACACACCACUUCUUACUUCCUAGAACGAGUGGUUCUGCAACUCCGAUUGGUGCUACUAAAACCAUCCACAGAAUUGCGGAUACCGACCGUCGGAGUAGAACCGAAAGAGCUACCCUUGGUCGACGAUCUGAGCCUCAGAUUGUAAUUGGAAGCAACGCCUGCGGAAUUGGGUAGGGCGCUGGAGAAGGAGGAUCGUACGGCUCCGACACGGCUGAAAUCGACUAGUGGAGGAAGAGAUUUCCUCAGAUUCUCAGUCUUCUUCUUACUCAUCACGCUUUUCCUUUUCGUCAUCAUCUCCGAUCCAAGAACCACGCCGAGAUCUUUGUUAUUGUUCCUCUUCGGUGUGGCUACAGGAAUAUUCUCUUCGUCGCCCAUCUUCUUCCGCCUCAUCAACCUCUCGUUCCUCCGCGCCGCGUACUCAUCGUAGCGCGGUCCUCUCUCGAAGAGAACAGCGGGCUUUCUUGCCAACUUACAUAGCUCCAGAGAUAAAGCAGGGUACUCUGGAUAGAAAAAUUGGUACUGAUCAUCUUCGCUGAAGAUUUCCAUCUUCGAUCCCGAUGCCGACGAUGAAAUGAUCGCCGGUUUAGGAGGUUCGAUCGGGGGAGAAGGUGAUGCUGAGAUCAAAUAUCGAAAUCGAAAAUCAAGAAAGAAUCAAACGCAUCAUAAAAUAAAAAUAUGAAUGUUUCCGAUACCUGAGAUUUCUAGCAGAGGAGGAAGAACACGACGGGACCGGAGGCGGCGUGGUGAGAUGACCAACGGAGGCUUCCCUCGGAUCUGUUUCAUGGAGCUGUUGGCUGUUGGAUUCAUUAUCUCGUUGAUUCACUGCAGUUUGAAGAACAAACAAAAAAAAAUGAGAUUUUAGGGUUUCUUUUUUUUAUUCCCUUUUUUUGUAAGACGGUGGACCUUCCACGAGGCACGAACGGAUUCAUAUUUAAAAUAGAAGUAACGGUAAUAUUUUGACUUUCCAUAACCAGUGUAUUUCGUGACAGCGGAAUCAAAGGAUACACCUUUUGUCACGAUAUUAUUGAGAUUCUGUUUUAAAAAAAAGAUUCUGAUUCAUAUGGUAAGGUGUAAUUUUACAUUAAAAUCGAAGGUCUUUAUCGUCAAUUUUUUUUAAUAACGAAUAAAACUGUCAACAUUCGGUUUUUUUUUUAUAAUAGUACUUUUUAUAUUAAAAGAAAAUUAAAAGACAUUAGUUAUAUAUAAAAUAACUUUAAAAUUACCUUGUCGAUCCUAAAUCUAACAUUGCCCUGAUUGUACAGGGACAUCAUGAAUGAUCAUGAUGAUAGCACCUCCUGCGUAACCUGUUUACCUAUCAUUCUCCUCCCAUUUCGUUCUCUCUAUAAGCUCCAACUGACGACCGCUAGAAAAGUCCAAUGGAUACCCCAAAUUGACGAUUUGAUUAUAAAUUUGUUUAUAACCAAAUUCAUCGAUUCAAAGUCAUUGAUAUCAUCCACCACAACUAUAUUAUUCAACGCUGUCAAACACUUUUGUUAAGAAUAUCGAUAACUUAGCUAAUUUUGCGAUUUUUCUUAAAUUUUACAACAAUGGAUGUAACUUGUAAGUCUUAAUAUAUAAGUGAUAUAUAUUAUAACUUAUAACCAUAUAAAUAUUAAAUUUGAAGCUGCUAAAAAAAGUAGCAUUUGGAAAUAUUAUGAAUAAAUAGCAUAAAUCAUCAAAUGUCUGGAAAAGUUCCAUUGAGAAGUUCCAGCAGAAGAACAGCAGCAGAAUCUUUGGCUUUCUUGACGCUUGGCAUGGGAUCACCUAUGCAAGCAUCGGUCCAUCCACGGUCGGAGGUGUUUACACUAACAGAGUAGACAAAUCGCUUGGCAUGAGCUGGACCACCUUCAUUGAUGCAAAUGUACUGCGGCAUGGGCCACUGCCUUCUUAAACACAGAUCGUUAAGAGUUUGUCUUGUAAAAAUUUGCGCACCAUUCUUUUUAGUUUCGUUCUCUGCUUCUUUCUUUGAAGCUAGAUCUCUUUCUUUCAACACUUGGAGAGCAUUCCUAGCAGCUAACUUCUGUGCCAUUUUCUUCUGUGGGUUUUGCGCAACCCCAAUUUGGACAUCAUCAACAAAGACUUCUACGGUUGCUAGAUUUCCCGUCCGAGAUGCUUUGUAUACUAACCCCUCAGCAUGUUGCUGACACCGUUCUUGCAAUUCUCUCACUGGAUGCAUUGGAAGAGUUUCUGGGGUCACCAUUGGAUGCAAAAGAGGUUGAAAUACCUAGUAGAUGUCAAAACAAAGUAAAAAAAAAUACUGAAUACAAGAGUUAAUCGAUAAAUAUUUGUUGUGAGUUCCAACCAAUUGAUCUUAUUUUUACCUUCCAUACAUCUGCAGUAUCAAGGUCGCUAUCAAGGAAUAUGGCACCUGCAAUAGACUCAAAGAUGUCACCGAGCACUUUGGGAGCUUUACAAUCACCCAGGCCAAAUGAAUUGAACCCAGGUUUUGAUAGCUCUUUCCGAACAUCUUUAACAUAUUCUCGGAUCUGAAAAAAAAGGAAUUCAUUUGACUGAUCAUGUUCAUCUGUCAACUGCAAAAUAAAAACACUUGUAAUUGCAAUAAAAAUUAAAACCAACCUGAGCUUCUAAAGCAGUUGACCCAUGCCUGAGGUGCAAAUGCAAUUUAUGCUUAACAGCAACCCGAGCAAAAUUUUCAUUGUUCACUGCAGCAGCUCGUAAAUCUGUCAAUCGUCCAGGUGGUAGACUAGUGUAUGUGAAAAAUAAAUGUUCUGUGAUAAGAUGGUCUAGGACUGCAUCACCAACAAAUUCAAGACGUUGGUAACAAGAGACACCAGAUGAUGGUCUUGAAGCAUGAGUUAUGGCUUCUAUUAGCAACCCUCGGUCAUUAAACUUUACAUUGAGAGCUGCUUCUAAUUUAUUAAAAUCGACACUCCUUGUUACACUUUCUGGUAUAUUGUAUGGUUUAUGCACAUGGUGCUCAAUCUCUGGUGAAUUGAAUUCAACUUGUAUCCCAACCCAAUUCAUAAAAUGAUUUGCAGCAUUUUUACCACCUUCAACAUAAUAUACUCCAAUAAGUGCUUCGACCACAUCUGCCAAUGUUUUGCUCGAAAGAACCCGGUAAGAGCUUGAAUCACCCUCGAUCUCGCCAUCUUCUUUACCAUUAUCAAAGUCGUCAUCAAGUAUUUCUGUCUUUGAGUCAAUCUCAGCCAUGGUAUUGUCAAAAACCGAAGAAGAUUCGGAUUCCUUGACAUCUUCAUCAAACACUGGAAGAACACCAGGAGCAGCCCAUCUUGCUGGUGCAAAUCGAUCUGCUUGAAUGUACGAUUGAAGUCCUUUAUUCAGUGCAUACUGAUAAAGCACCAUGUUGCAUACCAUUUGCUGCCUCAUUCUUGUAAGCUGACCCUCGUGUUUUUGCGGGUAUUUCAGAAAAAGAUAUUUACUUACAACCCAUUUAAGAUAUGCAUCUCCAAGUAGUUCAGCUCGCUCAUAGCAAAAUGUCUCUUGACAUGAAGCAGCAGUCAAUGCCUCCAAAAUCUGAAAAAAGAUAAACCAUGUCAAAGAAACAACAUAAGUUUCAUAAUUGGUAAAGAAUAUUUAUCACACACUGAACUGAACUGAACUUGUAGAUUACCUUCACAGAAGGAACUGGAUACUUGAUCGUAUGCUUAAGUUGAAUAGCAAGUAACAUGCUUUCUACCCUCCUCAUUAUUGACGGUAGUCUUUGUGCACCACGAACAAGACAUCCAGGAAGAGGAUGAAGAAAACACAACUCAGGAGGCAGAAAUACAUAAUACGUUUUAUCAAGGGACUCUUCAGAUUCAACUUCACACUCUGCGUCAAAAAAAAUGAAGUCGAUAAAAAAAUAUAUAUAUUGGCACAAACAAAAGAUUGACAUUACGUAUUAAACACUUAAUAGAAGUCAGAUUCAUUUGAAUGCAUCCACGUACCAUCAGAGUGCUCAAACCUUGGAGAAAGGAAAUUCUUGCAAUAGGAAACACCACGUCCUCGUAUAAGAGGUUGUUUUUUUUUAAUCAAUUCAACUCCAUACCUAUAACAUAAACAAAACAGUAAGCAUAAAUGAACUUCCCAAAAUGCACCAUAAUGUUGCGAACAAAAGAUGAAAAACUUCAUUUUCUCUUAAGACAACAUUAGAUGCAUUUAGAUGUCCAUCAGAGACAUAAAACAAGGUUGCAAUAGAAGAAAAUAUAAUAAAGUAUGAAAUCAUAAUCAGAAAAUGGCAUACUUUUGUCUGUAAUAAUCAGCGUAUGAACUGUACUCCAGAGGUCCUAAAUAUCCUUCUUUUCUGGGAAAAGAAUUCUCGGCAUUCAUUUCAUAGCGUAUUGAAUCCACAUAGAAUCGUUUACCUGAGUGGGCCGCAGUCACAAUUCUUCCAACAAGAUGUCCAACAUCGACAUAACAAUCGGCCAUCAAUAAUUUUCCAUGAUUCACCUCACUAACGUAUACCACUGCAUUAUUUCUAUUAGGAACCAAACCAUAAGCUUUAACAACAUCAAAUUGUGCUAUGGCUCCUCUGAUACCAUAAGUUGGAUGUACUUUUUGUCCAUUUACCAUUCCUUGGCGUAAUUUACCAAAUCCAUAUUCUCUCCGAUCUCCACCCAAUGUUCGUUCAUUUGUUCCAAGAAAAACAUCAGGACGGGCCCUCUGAAGGGGGUUAUUCCAUGCAUCGGUCUUGAUUAUAUCCAUCAUCAAAUUCCAGUUGAUUUGAUUAAAGAAGUCUAUACACUUUUCCUCUUUCAAAGGAACAAAUAAAUAUGCUUUUGCAGGAUCCCAAGGAGUAUUUAGGGGAUCAACAUCCACAUCAAGAACAAUGCUCAUUAAUCUCACAUGAAAGUUCUUUAGUGAAACCAGCUACAAAAAUGAAAUUAUAAGUAAAAAUGUGAAUAAAAUUAAUUUAUCAAAUGGAAAAAAUCAUCACGAGAAAGGAAGGUUAUGCACAUGCCUGUUCUUGUGUAAUUUUUAUGGAUCCUUGAAAGAUAAGAGAAGCCUUUGUUGACAUUGUUCUGGCAACAAAGAGAUCCAUUGACAUCGAUAAAACCUACAAAUGUUAAUUAAAUUGAAAUAAACUUAUUGCUUUAUUUAUUUAUUUUGAUGCAAAACUUGUUGCUUUAUAUCAUAAAAGAUGUAUGCAAUUAUGCUGCAAUAAAGCAAAACUUGUUGCUUUAUUUACCUCUGCAUCCAACUCAUUCCCAAAAAGCACUGCAAAGUCUGAAACUUGUGUAAGAAAUGGGUCUUUUGAACUGCCAAUGUUUAUGCAUUUUACAUUAUACAUGUAUAAUGUAGUGAAUUCUGAUUCACAAAAGAAAUCUGUGCGAGAUAGAAUCCAUUCUCCCUAGGAAAAAAUACAAAGCAUUUCAUUUAUGCACAAUUGCACAUCAUAAGUACAAAAUUUAAGAAAAAGGCAAACAGAAGUGUAUAGUAUAAAACUACAUAUCGAGUUUAUUGACAAAAAUAGAUCAAAUUAAAUGAUUACCGAUACGGAAGCAAUAUUAAUUAAUCAUAAUUCAUAACAACGGAAAAUAAUUAUUACAACUAAAAUUCAUGAUUCAGAUUGCAAAAGAUUCAUAAGCAAUUAAGCAUCAACCGAAGGUUCACUAAAAUCCAUUGAAUAAUAGUUAAUUAGAAACAAGGAAACAGAAUAGCAAGAAGUCUGCAAAGAAGCUGAUAAAUUCCAGUUCUAAAAAAUGCAUGCAAACCUGCUAAAAAUAUUAGAAUAUAGUUGAAAAAUAGCUCGAUCAUUAUAAUAUAAAAUCGUUGUGGGUGAUUAUACGAGAUACUUUCGAGUUGAGCAGAGAAAUCAAGGAUUCAUAGAUUUUCUAUUUUGCAGUGGUACAUUUUUUUGCAAAACAAUGAAGAUGUUCAUUAAAAUUAAUGAAGGGAAGUGCCCUGGGAUUGCAAUUUGAAAGAGACAAAAGAUAGAAAUAAGGGAGAUGGGCUGAGGCCCAUCGAUUCUCUUCUGUAUGGCUAAUCCAUUUAGUGAUCUAAUAACUAAGUCUGUUACCUCAGGAGGUUGGUCACCCAGUCUGCAGCAUUACAGUUUCCUCCAAUUGUGAACCACACCUCAUAUUGAAGACUUAAGUUCUGAAAGAUAAGAUGGAGUUUCUAAUUAACUAUAAAAUAAUACCCCAGGAGACCUUAGGGCUUAGGGUGUCUUAACCUUCUGUUCCUUUCGGACCAGAUAUGUUGGGUAAGAUCUACUAAGACAUUCAAUGUAAGCCCCCAUGGAGGAGAAUGGUGUGUUAACUUUUGGAAAGCUUCUAUGAUAUCCCCUAAUCUUAUGUCAAGAUAGGUGAGAGUAGGACUGUAGGAGUAUGCAAGGUUUUUGAUGUGGCUAGAUGACCAGGCGAUGGUCAUGAAAUUUAUACAGGGAAUUACAUAAAAUAUAAAAAACACAGGCGCCUAGUCGCACAUGCGACAUGUCUUUUUUAGUGUAUUUUUUAAUUUUAUUUUCAAUAUAUCCCCUGUAUUUUUUAUAUUUUAUGUAAUUCCCUGUAUAAAUUUCAUAAUAAAAUACUUUAAGUUCAUUUAAAAUAUUCUAAAUGUCUAAUAGUACUUAAAAUCUUAAACAAAGAUUCGGAUUUAAAAAUAUAUAAUGUAUUAAUUUCCCAUUAUAAAAUAUAAAUUAUUUUUUCCCUUUAGUUUUUUGGAUUAUUGGUUAUUACUAUUUAGUUUUGUAAAAAAAAAAAUUUAAAUAUAAGUGGAUAUUUGGGUCGGGUUUAGCCGGAUCCGGCUAGGACCCAUAAAUAUGCGACCCCCUAAAUAGGUAAUGGGGGUAGCGUAUGGUAGUAUAUGAGACUUAAUCAAAAACCUUGGGAGUAUGUGUGUUUUCAAAUUUCCAGAUUGCUUGAUUCAGAAACUCAGUGGCUUUUAGGAGUAGAGUUCUUAUGUAGGUGCAGUUAAAAAAUAAGUGCUAAUUUAUUCAUCUCCUUGAUCACAGAGGAAGCAGAUAGUUUGUACCUGAAUCUCCCAUGCAUUUAGCAUCAGAAGGGUUUUUAGUUAUUGGUUUUUUAUUUUCCAUACGAUGAUGGAGAAUUUUGUUGGUGUAUGAGACCAGAUUCCAUUGGCAAUUGGAUCUUUGUGUCAUUUGGUUCUCAUGGCUCCAAUAAUUGUGCUAAGAUCUUUUCUCCCAUUCCUCACUUUCCACAGGGUUGUGUUUCCUGCCCUGCAUUCUAGGCACUGAUUGAUGAGCCUUCUUGAGGCAAUUAUUUCCUUCCACUGAGCAGAAUCAAUGGAGUGCUUGAUUAUGAUGUCCUGCGAUCCUUUACCUCUUAUAUAUCUAUUUUGCAUCCAUGUGGCUAAGAUAGAUGGUUUCCCCCAUAGGGUGCUGGUUUUUUGACUGGGACAACUAUGGAUAUCAUUGGCAGGUUUCUCACUCCUAGUCCCCCCUCCUUAGGUAGGACCAUCUAUGAACAUGGUAUCCCCUUCCUACCAUCCCAUAUAAAUUGAUAUGCUAGUUUCCUAAUCUUUUUGUAGACGGAGAUGGGAAGGCAGGUACUUUCUGUGUUGUUAAAGAUAUGGAAAUAUCAAAAAGACUCGAUAAUCGGUAGAGAUUUUGGAGAGAGAAAACUUACAUGAAGUAUGUCGGCCACACCUUCAGGAUAGAAUUCUCUAUGCCGUGAAGUUCCAGGAAGAGGCCCUCCUUCAUCAUUAGGGUCAACUUUCUCACCUUCCUCUCCACUUCCUUUUUCAGGCAAAAGCAUAUCAGUGAAUGCUCCCAUUUCAUGAAGCUUCUUACAAGCAUCCAAGCAGACAGCCUAUGCAAAAAAUAUUACGACCAGAAAAAAAUAUAAAACGAAUGAAGUUAAAUUAUUAUAUAUCAAGAAAAGAGAUGCUAGUCUGGAUGAAAUGAGGUAAAUAAUUAUAAUAAACCUUUGAAAGUCUAAAAUAAAAUAUUAAAAUGCAAUGUUGUUUUGCAAGUUCUUCAGAUAACAUUAAUAAAUAUUAAAAAUAGUAAGAAAUCCCUAUUGUUUUCUAAUCCUUCUAUGUAUUUUCUGUUUUAAACUAUUUGAUUACUUAUAUAUUAGUGAAACAGUAGAAAGUAUAUGGGAAAUGGGGGAGAGAUCAAAUUAUCGAUCCCUCCUAAACUGUUAUUAAACACUUUAUAUACAACUUAGGGGGGAUUAGAUCUUAACAGAAUUGUAAUAACAAAUUCUGUUAAGACUUAUCCAUUAGAAUGUUCUAGAAUUAGGAAUUAAACUACUUAGCUAGCUAAUUACAUUGGUAAGAGUAAUAACUAGCUAAUUACAUAUUACACCAUUAUAAUGAUAAUACUAACAGCCCUCCUCAAGUUCAUCUAUGAUCAUCGAUGAGGUUGACUUUGAUGUUCAUAAAUGGUGUAGGCCUUAGUGCUUUGGUCAGAACAACAGCCCUCUGCUUGGUGUUUGGAAUGUGUAUUACUUCUAAAACCUUCUUUUUCAACUCUUUCUCUCACAAAGUUGAAGUCUAUCGCAGCAUGCUUUAUCUUUGUGUUGAAUACAGGAUUAGCAGCCAAUUAUGUUGCUCCGAAGUUGUCACUCCACAACUUAUAUGGCCUGUCAACUUUUAUGCCCAUUUCAUAUAAUAAAUUCGCUACCCAAUCCAAUUCUGCUUUUGCUCAAGUGAUAGCUCUGAAUUCUGCUUCAGUGCUUGAUCUUGACACAGUGCCUUGCUUCUGUGAGCACCACAUUACCAAGGACUGCCCCAUAUACACUAAGUAUCCAGUCCGACUUUUUCUGUCAGUCUCAUCUGAAGCCCAAUCUGCAUCACUAAAUGCUGAAAUGCUGAAUUCCUUGCUUUUUCUGAGUACAAUUCCCAUACAUUGUGUUCCAGACAGGUAUCUCGGCACCCUUUUCAUCAUAUUUCAGUGAAUUUCUUUAGGUUUCUCCAUGAACUGAGAUAACUUGUUCACUGCAUAGGCAAUGUCAGGCCUUGACAUUGUAAGAUACUGCAGAGAACCGAUUAUUUUUCUAUAAUCAGUAGAUCUUUCUAUCACCUCAUCCUCAGAAUAGAACUGCUGGUUUGACUGCAUUGUAGUAGAUAUGGGUUUUAGGUUCUCAAAGCCAUGUUUGCUCAAAAGAUUAACAAGAUAUAACUGAUGAUCCAGAAACAGCCCUUCAACAUGCUUUCUCACCCUAAUUCCCAAGAAAUAUUCUAAUUCUCCACAUACUCUAACUGCAAAUUCAGAUUUUAGUGUGUCCAAACAUUCCUCUACCCUUGCUGAACUUGAUCCAGUGACCACCAUGUCACCUACAUACACAAGUAUGUAAAUUAUAUCAUCAUCGUCAUUGAUUCUAACAAACAAAGAAUCAUCCGAUCGGCAUGCCUUAAAGCCCAUAUUAUUCAAAGAUUGCUUUAACCUCCUAAACCACAUCCUUGAAGCCUGCUUCAACCCAUACAGUGCUUUCUUUAAUAGACACACAUGUCUAGGCUUGGAUUCAUCAAGAAAUCCUAUAGGCUGCCUUAUAACAAUUCUUUCCUUCAACUACCCAUGCAGAAAUGCAUUGCUAAUAUCAAUUUGUUGUAAUGCCCAUCCUCUAGAAACUGCAAUUGUGAGAACAAUUCUUAUAGACUUUGGUUUUACCAAAGGGUUAAAAGUUUCACUAUAAUCCUUACCUUCCACUUGGUUGGUCCCAUUCGCUACCAACCUAGCUUUCAACCUCUCCACUGUGCCAUCAGACCUCUCCUUCACCUUGAACAACCAAAUAUUGUUGAUUACAUUAUCAGUUUCACUAGGAAUGAGUUCCCAUGUCUCAUUUCUCAUCAAGGCAUCAUACUCAUCCUGCAUGGCCAAUUUCCAUUCAGGGUCAUUUAAUGCAAUUUUCACAAAUUUAGGAGCUUGCUUCUGAGUUGGUGUAAUGGACAAUGCAUAUUUUGCUACUGUCCCUCUGGCUGCUCUCCUUGUAACUGGAAUAUUCCGCAUUUGCCCUUCAUCAUCAGAUUCUGGCUGAUAUAUUUCUCCUGAACUAUCUGAUGCUGUAUCAUCAUUUUCAGGUUUUGAAAUGUCAGAAUUCUGUAGCUUUCCCUGUUUUGGUGAGAUUGAAUUAUUUGAGGCAGAGGUUGUCUCAAUCAGCAACUGUGGAGCUGGAUUAUGUAUCCUUCUCGCAUAUGUUUGAACAACUGUUGAGGCCUUCACUUGUUCAUGAUCAGAGUCACUCUGAAUUUUGAUCAACUUGUGCUGAAUUCUCUUUAUCUUCGUACUGUUUAGCAUUAAGAACGCCUUCUUGAAACACUACAUCCCUUGAGAUUAAAGUUAUUCCAUCCUCCAUAUUCAUACAAAUAUACCCAUCACAAUUGGCCGGGUAUCCCAUAAAUGUGUAAGGAGCUGAUUUAUCACAUAACUUGUUCUCAAGUUAGGAUAACACUUGGACCCAAACACCCUUAAUUUAAAAUACUCGGGUGCUUUGUGAUGCAAUGCCUUAAAAGGAGAAAUUCCACGUAAAAUACUAGUGGGAUUUCUGUCAUACAGAUAUACUGCUGUCAUGAAAAGUAAUCCCAAAAAUGUUGUUCAAUACCUGCAUGAUUCAGCAUAGCCAGCUCUGUAUCGACAAUGUGUCGAUGUCUUCUCUCCACUUUCCCCAUCUGAGGGAGUGUGUGGACAGCUCAAACGGUGCACUAUUCCAUUCUUUCUUAGAUUAUUUGAUAAUUUCAGAAACUCCUUUGCAUUGUCACUCUGAAAUGCUUUGAUUUUUCUGUCAUAUUGCCUUUCAACCAAUUUCUGAAACUGAUAAAAACAGUCCUCCACCUCAGAUUUCUUUUUCAUUAAGAAUAGCCAAUUAAAACUUGUACAAACUUGUACAAACUUCCAUCGUAGAUGUCUCCAAAGGGUGACAACCUCCUAAACUGUUAUUAAACACUUUAUAUACAACUUAGGGGAGAUUAGAUCUUAACAGAAUUGUAAUAACAGAUUCUGUUAAGACUUAUCCAUUAGAAUGUUCUAGAAUUAGGAAUUAAGCUACUUAGCUAGCUAAUUACAUUAGUAAGAGUAAUAACUAGCUAAUUACAUAUUACACCAUUAUAAUGAUAAUGCUAAUAUUAUAAGUGUUUUAAAACUUAAGAGAUUGAGCGCAGGUUCAGAGCAUCUGGAAGAUUUAACACUUUUUAAACUAUGAGUGUUUGUUAUCAAGAAAAAUUAAAAAAUGAAAAAAAGAAAAUGAUAAACUGAGAAAGAAAAAUAAAUUGUAAAAUUUAAUAAAAAAUUGCACUAAAAAGGUACAAAAUUAACAUGCCUGUUGUGCCAUGCGCAUUGAAGCGCAAAUUGGACCAUCAAGAUUUUCAAAUGCUGCAUUACAAGGAAGCUGAAGCUUGCAUGAAUAUUCAGUAGAACCACCAGGCUUUUCAUGCCGUUGCAUGAUAAAUUCAGGGCGAAGAAUUGAAUACCUAUAAAUAAAUGAAUGUCAGUCCUUCUCUUCUUCUAAGAAAUGAAAUUCAUUAAAUUACAGGAAAUCAAUCAAGAUUCAAAAAUAUAGUAAUACCUGUCACUUGGUAGCUGAGAGCAAUAAAAAUGAAUAAGUCCUACUGCAGAAUUUAAGCUAACAAUAGCACCUGUUGUUUCAACCUGGUACAUCAAACCUGGCAGUGAAUCAAGUGAAGUUAAUUUGUUUGUAUCUUUCAGAUGACUAAGGUCUGUUCUCUCUAUUGCCUCCUUCCUUAAUGUUUCCUCACUACUCCGAGCAUUCCUUACAAAUGUUUCGUGUGAAAAAUUACCCCUGGAAUAAAUUUCCAGUUGCAAUGAUUCAACACUUAAUACAUAAAAUGAUAAAACAAGGAAUAAAAUGUGGUUCUAAACUUUUAAUGCUCCAUACCUCUCAAGCAUCAAUAUAUAAUCGGAUCCAGGUUUCCGUGCACGACCUCUAGACUGAAUGUAUGCCAACACUGUUUUUGCAAGGUCAAAGCGAAUAACAACAUUGCACUGCCGAAUAUCAAGCCCUUCUUCCGCAACACUAGUAGCUACUAACAAUGUAACCUGAAAACCACAUCUGAGGGUAAUCAUCAAGGAAUUCAAGUUUAAAAUAUUUUAUAGCUAAAGGAAUACAAUUAUCAUACACGACCAUCACGGAACUUGGAAAUAGUGUCUUGCAUUUGACUUGUCCUCAUCUCUUGAUUAUUGUUAUGUCCAAUUAAACUUGCACACUUUAUGAAGUCUAAAGAUGGAAGUUCCGAGAAAACCUGAAAAGAUAAAUAGAAAAUAUGGAUAGAUAUUUUGUUAUUACGAUGUCCUUAUAUCCUCACUUCCAUUAGUUCCAUAUAAAAAUAAGUCCACCUUGGGAAGAACUAAAGCAGUAACAACUCGCUCUACGAAGAUGAUUGCACGAAAAUCCUCUGUAUGUUUAUACCCAAGUAAUAUUUUAAUCAAUGCUUGAAUUUUGGGAGUGACUUUUCCAUCUGCUACAGCUCCCCCAAUUGUUGUAUCUACAUGCUCUCCUCCUGAGACAACUGCAAUAAAAAUUAUCUAUAUAAAUACACAUCAUAUAUGCAGGCAAAAUAUCUUACAAAAAGAAGGGCAAUGCAUGUAGAAAAAAAUACGAUCAUUCCAUAAUCUGAAAAGUCGACAAAGGUUAUAAAACUUUGAAACAUGAUCCAGAAUGAAAUAACAAAAUGGAGGCAUAAAACUAAGUUAACGUUUAUGACAUAUCACCAUUGAUUCAAUGUCUAGAAUAAAUAACAAUAACUCAAGAUACACUUGUAUAGUUAUAUAUGUUAAUAUGUGAUAAUAGAAUCAUUUCAAAUGAAUGCAAUUAUGCAAACAUAUUAUUUUCUUUCAGAGAAACUCUUGUUUGAAAAAAUUAAUCAAUUGACCAUUUUACAUUAAUUACUUUUCAAUACUAAACCAAUAUGAUGUUCAAAAUAUUAUGCCUAUAUAGCUUAAAAGAAAAGAGAAAUUAGCUAGACCUCCUGAGGUAGUCCUUAAGGAGGUCAUUAAAGACAUCAGUCUCUCUUUUGAUUCAGUGUAUUACAAGAAGAGCUGUUGUCAUCCUUUAGAGAUAUCUAUGAUGGAAGUAUGGGAGACCAACCUUCUGAGGCAGCGUAUCUAGUUACUGUAUAACUAGACUACAUAGCUAAUGGAAGAGAGUCAAUGAGCAUUUUGCUCAUUUCUUUUUUACUUCUAUUUUAUUUCUAUUCUCUAUUUUGUAAACUUGGCAUUAGCCUUAUUCUAAUGAAAUUUAAUUGCUUCAAAAAAAAAAAAAAAAAAAAAGAAAAAAAAGAAAAAAAAGAAAAAAAAGAAAAAGAAAAGAGAAAUUAGCUAUUUUCAAAAGAGAAGUUCAUGUUUACCAUGACCACAUGGCAGUUCACCCUCUUCAACUUCUUCAAUGGUUUGUUUAUCAUUUCCAUUAAUAUAACUAUUUGCCACAGUAGAGUGGACAUCAGAAACAGAUCCCUCAGACAACUGGCAGUGCAAUAAAUCAACCAUUUUCUUUAAGUAUGAUUCUUGAAAUUUGACAUCGAGCUGGUAGUUUACUCUUUCAUCAUUCCGCAAGGCUGCCAAAAAUGAAUGUGCAACCUGUGGCAAAGUAGUUAUAAGACAAAUGUUCAAACAAAUUAUUAAAGAACAAUGAUAUAAGCAAAUUCUCUGUUAAAGUACCUUAUAAGCACACCAUUGUCCCAAUUCACCUAAAGCGUAAUUUAUUGCUCUCAACUUCUGAAUCAAAUUAACAGCACCAUCACUUUCAGUUCUCUCAGAGAUACCAUAAACCAAGCGUAAUUCUUCUUUAGAUCCAGCAUCCCUCGCACCCAUGAACUGCCAUUUGCUUCUUCUCGAGCUAGAAAUUGCAGCUUUGUCAACUUGCAUUUCCAUUUGUUUUAUUUGUUCGUGGAAGAAACACAUGAUAGCUGCUUUAUCAUAUUCAAAAACUAACUCUGAUGGCAUAGGAACAUGCUUUUCCAACUCCUUGCGAUCUUUUAUCGUACAAACAAUGGCAUUUAGUUUGCUUUCUAGAUUUCGAAUUUUAAUAGCACAAUCCUGCUGACUUGAAACGCCUUCACAAUAAAAGGUCACGUAACUGUGAGACUAGGGAGUGAGAAGAAAGUCAAAAUAUAGAACAUAAAGUCAAAAUUAGAAAAAUACCCUUCAGGUUCACAGGAGAUGCUGUCAUACCAAAAAUAGAUGGUCUUUUGUCCUUGGGUGUUGUAUGAUAGAAUUCAGACAUUACCAAUGAAUAGGGAUGUUGCUUCACAGCGUGAUGACAUUCAUCAAGAAUGAGAAGAUGAAUGUGUUCCAUCUUAAUUAUGCUGUGCCUUAGAAUAUUCAAUAAAAUCUGAGCUGUCAUGACCAACACCUAAACAAAAACAAUUAUUACAGAAAUCAGCAGAAAAUAUAUGUUGAAUGAUUGCAUAAUCUUUAAAGUAAACAACUAUUUUUCGUUCAUAAAAAAAUUCCACAAAUUAUGCAUAAAAAAUAUAAUUUCAUCAUAAAUGGGAAACACACUCUUACCUCUUUUGAUUCAAAUUCACGAUGCCAUCUCCGGAAAUCCCAGAAAUCAUGACCCAUUUCACCACAAUAAUGACCAACACUGUACCCAGUUUUUUCUUGGAUAACUUCUGCUUGCUGAAACAGAAACAAAAAACACAAUAUUUAGAAUGUAACAAUAUUCAUGAAAAAGAAAACAUUUGGGAUGUGUAAUGCUCUCCACCUGAUAAACCAGAGGAACUUUGGGAACCAAAAAGAUUGCAAGCAUCUUUUUAUUCUCUACCAGCAUUUGCUCAUGGACACUUUUAAUGAGUAAAAUAGCUAUGAGGGUUUUACCAGCACCAGUCUCAAGAAAUGCAAUAGUGUUUUUCUUCUUUGCCUGCUCAAGAACAUCAAGCUGAUACUUUCGUGCCUGAUCCUCGUUAGGGUUGAUUGUAUUUUUUCCACCUGAAUUUUUUUCAAAAACCUUCUCGUUAAUCAAUUUUUCAUGCUUAACAGAACUAUGGUUAUUGCUGUUAUCAAGUUUAUGAUUUUCCGCAUUCCACAAACCAAUCUGAAAAAUUAGCUUCCCAGACAUGUCUCUCUCCCAGUAACCGCUCUUCAUUCUACCAUUGUCUCUUCCAUUAUUCCUCCUCCUAUCACUGUCUCUAUCUCUAUUCCUUUUUCUGAUGUUAUUCCUAUUGUUCUCCCUCCCAUCCUUGUCAUCCCAACUCUGGCUUCUCUCACCAUUCUUCCCUUGGAAUAAGGCCGUCCUAUAGCCACCGUCCUUUUCGACAAAACAUCCUCUCUUCUUAUAAACACCAGUCUCUUCUUUCUCUUCCAUAACAUCCAAAGCCCUCUUUUUUACAGUAGAAACAUGUGUUGCGAUGUUGGUGCUGCCAACAGGAGAACAACACUCUGACUUACCUUCCAUUUCUGACUUUGCAUCCAUAGCACCCUCCAUCAACGAUGCAUCAGUUACAUUAUUACCAUCGUUGUUUCCGGUUAUCUUAUUAAAUAUCAGAUCAAUAUCCUGAAAGAAACCUUCAUCUGCACCACAAUCCAUCAGCUCAUUUGGAACAAUAUCAUGGUUAAAAUCUUCCAAUUCAAUCCCACAUAACCCAUCACCACCAUCCUCCUCACAAGCAUGGAACCAGUAGGAAGUGGAAACCAUGCCGCCAAUGUUAGGUGCUGGUUCACUCUCCAUCCUAAGUAAUAAAAUAAAAUAAAAAAACCCAAAAUACCAGUAUUCUAGUCUACAACAGAAAUAUAAUAAUCACAUUCAGUAGUAGUAGUGAUGGUGGUGAUAGUAAGUAUAUAAAUAUGAAAGUAUUGGUAGUAGCUGUAGUCUGUAUGUUGAAAAAGUGUAGAAAAAGAAGAAAGAGAUGAGAUUACGGAAGAAGAAGAAAAGAAUGGAGUGGCGAGCUAUAGACCGUCCGAAUCAAUUUACCCAGAAAUUGAACAACGAAAAAUCCCAAACAGAAUAUUCUGAACUACGAGAAUAAACAGAUCCGAUAUUUUGAAACCCUAAUUCAAAGAUGAAGAACAGAAGAAGAAGAAGAAGAAAAAGAAGAAGAAGAAGAAGAAGAAGAAGAAGAAAAGGGUAAAGCUAUAUGAUUCGGAUUCUUCAAACAGUCUAUCAACGCGACUCCACCUUUUCCUCCUUCCACCGAUCUCCUCUCUGUUCUCACUUUCUAUCUAUCUAUAUCUCUCUCAAACUCGAUCUCUAUAAAACCCACUCUCUCCAACACUAUCCUUGACCGCAAGACACCGCAGCCGCCGUAAAAUCACCGGCAACUGCCGCUAAAAGUGAGAACGGGAGGGGUAUCAUCAAAAAAUCCAGUGAUACAGCUUUAUAUAAUGUUAGGUUUAUUUAGACCAUCCACAAACCCCUUAUGUUUUGUAUUAAUAUCAACUAAAUCCUUUUCUUAAUUGCUAGUCAAUUGAUUUUGUAAUGAUUAGUUUGGAACAUGUGUUUUAAAUUCUUUCUUCAAAAAAUGUGUUUUUAAUUCAUCACUUAAGCUUCUCUCCAAUCAAGACCAUAGAGAAGAAAUUGAGAGUGGAGAAGAAGAAGGUUGGUUGACAGUUAACAGUACUACAAAAAAAAAAACACAUUUAUACAUAAGUUUUAUAAAAACAAAUGUUAAAUUUAAAAAAAUCAUAAGAUGGUAGAAAACAUGUUAGAUCAUAAAAUAAAAAUUAUGCAAUCUGAUUCAGUCUCAUCUCCUUAUACUCCUGAACAAAAUGGGUGCCAGAAGAAAGUAUCGUCAUUACCAUUGAGACUGUAAAAUAUCAUUAAUCUAAAUCAAAGGUCUCUAAAAUCUACUGAGUAAAAGCUACAAUAAUGGCUAAUCUUUAUUAUUGGCUUAUUAAUGUAGACUAAAUAUCAUAUCUUGAAUUGAUAAUGAAAGAUCUUAUAUGAUUCACAAAAUUCUAGCUAAAGAUUUCAUUUGAUACUAAUGAUUAACUAAAUCUUGUUAGAGAUUUGCUUAUCCAUGACGGACUCAAUUUAUAAAUAGAGAGGCAUGCUCAAUUGCUCACCAUGUUCGAACAUCACUUACCCCAAGCUCUCACAACAGUGGUCGGUAGAUCUUCUUGAUUUAAUAUUAAAAAAAAUCAAGGUGAUGAUUUGUUGAAAGCUCAUUCUGAUUCUCGAAUCUCUUACUCUUAAAAUUAAGGUGAUGAUCUGUACGUUGUGAUGGUAUUUCUCCGUUGUGCGACUUCAGUUUUUUUUCCUCCACCCUCUAUCGUCAAAUGUAGAGGUUUAUAUAGGCUCUCCAGAUGAUCCGCUGCGUGACACCAAUGAACCCAAGUGACCUUGACACCUGGUCAGACUCUUGUUGACCUUCUAUUGGAUUGAAGUCGGUAUAAAAUGGUAUAUAUGUGGAAUACCAACACAAACAAAUGGCCAAAUCAUUUUUAAUAUCUCACUUGUUUUUAUACACAAUGGUCUGUUUCUUUUAGUAGGUAACCAACAACUUGAUGUGUUUUAUUCUCUUUUUUUUUGGAGAAAAAAAAACUUGAUGAAAAAUGACUUUUUUGUUAUUGUUGAAUCUUAAUGAAAUACAACUGUCUUGGAUCUUAAUGCUUUGAUACCAUAUUAGAAUUAUAUAUUAUGUUUAUGUAUUGAUUUGGAUUAAACGACUAAUUGAGAUACAAUGAAUAUAAAAUAAGUAAAGAUUAUGAAUGAAAUAUUUCAAAUGUAAAUAAUGUAAUAAUACAAAUUUUGGAGCCUGAGAGAUGAUGAUGAGAUCAUAUCGAAGAUGCUCCGCCUCUUGUUACAGAGUAGAAGAUGAAGAUGGUUCAGAUACAGAUGAUGACAAUGAUCAAAACACUAGGACAGUUGAAGGAUUCUAAGAUUUGAUUUGCAUCAGAUUAAUGAAAAUCUGGAGGAAGUUUGUAUCUUCAAUCUGAAGACAGAUCGUUGAAUCGAAAAGUGAAUAAUUGAAUGGUCUUAAUCCUUAUUUAUAGACAGGUUUAGAUGUUAAUUGCCAACGACUAUAUCAGUAUUAAUUGGGAAUUGAAGUUGGAUGAUCUAGUAUCUAUUGGAUAAUAAGCAAUUUUGGAGGGUUUUUGAUGUAAUAUUCCUAAUAACAAUAAAAGCUAGAUAAGGUUUUUGUGGAUUAAAAUGAAUAAACUAAAUAAUAAUUAAAAUCAUAGAUACAUAGAUAAGGUUGAUUAAUUUGAGGCCUCAAUCGUCGUAGAUGAUAAUACUUUCUUGCUUUGAUUUCAAACUUGGUGAUAUUAUAUUUUGUUUUUACAAAACAUGUAGCCAUUUAAGAAUUUGCUUAAGUUUUAAUUUUUAAAAUAAUUUUUAAGUGAGUCCAAAAACGUUCAUAUCAUCCUCACCGUUUAUUCAUUUCAUCUUAAAAAAAUUCACUCCAUCUUGUACUAAUCUCGAGGUUUUAUAAAUUUUUUUUUACAAAGAAAUUCGAUCAAGCCAUCAUAAAAACAAAGACCGAGCCUAUUUGAUCAGCCCGGCCUAAAAUGUAUGUCAUAUCUUGUAUGGUCUACCAAAGUACCAAUACACUUCAUUUAUCUAUUAACUUACUGGACUUAGUCCAAUAUUCCAAUUACAUUGACCCAUCUACGUUAAUGCAAUAUAAAAAUACUGGACUUAGUCCAAUAUUUCAAAAGUGCUCACGCACCUGGACCGUCCGAUUUAAAUUGAUGAAUGUGCACCGUCCGUUAGAUAAUCAUAUCAAAAUGUACAAUUUGUGAGAUGAAUAGGUAAUAGGUGUACUUUUAGUUAUAAUUUUUUUGGCUAAAGUUUGCUUUACUCUUUAAAAAGUUUUUUUUUCCGUCUUUCCCAUUGGGCUUACAGAUCGGCCGCCCACAAGAUGGUGUAUUCUCUCUAUUUUCCAACCUCUUCCCUGUUGGAUCAGAUGAGGUAUUUAUAGGAUUUGUUCAUAGGCCUCUUGGACCUCCCUUGGUCCAAGCCCGUCGUUCGGACGGGCCCAUGGUUUGUUCGGCCCGAGGACUCGGUACCAACAACUAGCAAAUAACAAUGAUUGAAUUAUAAUUUUGAGUAUGUAUUUGUUAAAUGGUUUAGUUCUAGUACAAUAAAAACAUAUUUAGAUGUAUAUGAUUUUGAUGAGAGUCCAGUCUCAUCAAUAUAUAAAGGGAAGGUUUUAAUUAAAACUACCCACCUAUGAUGGCUUGGUGGUCAAAAGUAACUACCAAGUCUAAUUCUUAGGUGGUUAGGGUGUAUUAGGAGGCAAAUUUGCCCCUUAUUUAGAUAAUCUAAAUUGUUUUUCCCAUCGGCAUCACCCGUUAACCCGUUCCGAUGACCCGGAAAAUGUUACCCGAAUAUCCGUCUAAGUUAAAUAUAUUUCAUCCUCCAAAUUUUGAUUUUUUCCAGUAAUCUUCUCCGGUUCGAUGUUCGCCGGAAAAGAUGAUUUCUCGCCGGACUUUUGGCCAGAAUCCAUCACAGGCUCCGGAACUUCCCCAAACUCAUGAUUUAGAGUUCCUUCAACUAUCCGAUCAUUUUUGUUAGACUAGCUAACUAAAUGUUAGACUAGUUAACUAUGUUAGUUAAUCAAUUAGUAAUAAUUAGUUACUAAUAAUCAAUAGUAGUUAGUUAUAAAUACUUGUAUAAAUAAACCUAUAUACUAAUUCUAAAUCAAACUCAAGUUUUCACAAUUCAUUCUUCAACAUCUUCUUGACUUUGCUCGCCGGAGUUGAUUUGUUUCCGUCGAGCUCUCAACGACGGUUAAGCGUUUCUAUCAUAGUAUCAGAUUCUCUGCCUACGUCUUCGCUAGGAGUCCCGCCGGCCAUCUCCGUGGCUUCUCCAUCUCCGAAGAUCGUCAUGAAUAAUAUCCGUUGCGUUCUGUUGAACAAAACCAACUAUCAUUCAUGGGAAGCCUAAUUUUCUUCAAUGUUACGUGGUUUCGAUCUCAUAGAAUACGUUGAAGAGAACGUCGAUCUCUUCUCACGAUCCGCCAAACAACAGGAUCAAUUGAUCCUCUCCUGGAUUUUGACUGGCAUCUCCACCUCUAUAUUGCCACAUGUGGCUUCAUUCCGGACGUCUGCCGGUAUUUGGAAGGCGUUGCAGAAGUUGCAUGCCUCCAACACUCAAGCUCGACAGCUGCAUCUUCGUCUACAAUUACAAACACUUCGGAAGGGUGAUUUGUCUAUUGAGGAUUUUAUCACAAAGGUGUCCAUUCUUAAGGACGUGUUGGCUGCCACCGGCGAGGGCGCAUUACAAAAAACCAGCGCAGUUCUGGGCGCCAGAACUGCGCUUAUUUUUUGUAGUGGCGUAAAAGAAUCAGAAAUCAUUUUGAUCACAUUGGGCGUUCUUGGGGAUGAGUACGAAUCUUUUGUAACAUCUAUCACUACAAGAUAUGACGUUUCCAUGACUUUCGAUUCCUUUUGUGAAUUACUCGUGGAUCAUGAUCUUCGACUUCUCAAGAAGGUCAACAACUCCUUAACGGUAAAUACGGUGACAAAAUCGAAACAGGAAACUUCAUCUUCAUCCUCUUCAUUGCCAAAUUUGUGAACGAAAAGGGCAUUCGGCUCUAAACUGCUAUAAUCGCCUCAAUAUUACUCGAUUCAUUCCUCAGCAUAAUCGCGAACUCACGCCUUUCGGCAUCAAGGGUACCAACAGGUCCUCCGCGGGUGCUGUAAACAUGAUCAAUACGGGUGAAGUUUCAAUGUGGUAUCCCGACUCAGGGGCCACAUCGCACAUUACCACAUCCUCCGACAACAUACAACAACCUUGGAGCCUCCUUCAUCGCACGCAACCCGAUUGCACAUAUCAAACUCAAACACGUCGCUCUCGACUUUUAUUUCAUUCUUGAGCGAACUGAGAAAGGUGAGCUCCUUGUCGAGCACAUACUGGGUGCAAAUCAGUGGGCAGGUAUACUAACCAAAGCACUAGCACCAUCGGCAUUCCUUCGUCUCCAGCGUCACCUCGUCGGUGUAACUCCUGUCAACUGUAUUCAAUCUUUGGCAUUGCUAAAUAUAGUUAGUUAGGAGUUAGGACUUUGUAUUUCUAUAAAUAAGACAAUGAGAUAUUAUUGAAAGUGACUUUUGCACUUUGUGAUUGAAUGACUAAAUACUUGAUUAGGAGUAAUUGCUUUGAUUGAUUCUUUAACAUGGUAUCAGUUGAGUUUUUUGCGAUUUUCUCCUCAAGUUUUUUGACAUUUUCCUCCUCAAUCCUUGAUUGACCAAAAUUAAAAAAGAAGAAAAGCUUCCGCGUCGUCAUCUCCUUCCGCGAUUCUGUUGCGAGCGAUUCUUCAAUUCGGUCGUCGUCGUUUCAGGCAAACCAGCAAGAGCAGGUCGUCGUCGUCGUCACCUUGUAUUGCAUCGCGCGAUUAAUUUCAGAUUGGAUCAGCCGGAUUGCGAUUUCAGAUCUCAGAUUGCGAUUUCAGCCGGAUUGAUUUCUCGCCGUCGUCGUCUCGUUUCAGCCGGAGUUCUCUUCUUUUCUCCGUCGUCGUCAUCGUCGCGUUAUUGCGUCGCCUUUUCUCCGCGAUUUGCAAUCCAGUCGCGAUUCCAAGAAAGGAAAUUUUUCGCCUUCGAUUUGCCACCGUCGUCGUCGAUUUCUAGUGAUCCCAGUCGUCGUCGCCUGUUCUUCCGCGUCGUCAGACUGAUUUCAGUGGAUCUUCUAUCAGAUUGCAUCGUCUCCAGAUUUCAAGUGAUUAUUCCAGAUUUCACUUGUUGAUUUCAGUCUGGAUUUCUCAGACGUCGUCGUCUUCCUUCAAUCCAGCCGCGACUAACAGAUUGGAUUGCAGAGAUUCCAGUCUGGAUUGCUAUCUGCAACUAACAGAUCGUUGCAGUCUGGUUUGCAAAUUCAAUUUUUUUUCUUCGAUUGCGUUUUUCUGAUUGCGUUUUGAUUGCGUUCUUUUUUCUGAUUUGAUCGCGAUCUGAUUACUUAAUUGCGUGCGUGAUUUGAUUUGAUCUUUGCAUUUGAGAUCUGAUUGCGAUCUACAUGACCUGAUCAAUUCGAUCAGGCAUUGGUCUAUUGCCUAUUAUUGCCUGUUUUUCAUUUCUUGGAAGUUCCCAGCAGAACAAAGGGCUGUAGGUGCUGGCAUUUUGCGAUCUCUGAUUGAGAUCUGAUUAUCUGAUUAUUGCUUGGAUUUCUUUGUAUUCGGUAUUUUGCGAUCUGAUUUUACGAUCUCAUUACUGAUUGCGAUCUCUCUUGAUUGAGAUCUGCUAAUUUGGUGAUUAGAGAUUGUGAUUUUAAAAAAAUGGGCUCUUCUUCAUCAAAUCAAUUUGAUGAUCUCCACAGGUGCAAUGUUGCACAUUGGAUUAGGGUACCUUUUGAGAGUGGAGCGACAUUUGUGUUUUGGAAGGCUCAAAUGGAGAAUUUAUUCAAGAUUCAUGACAUUUCUGACAUUGUUGAUCCAAGAACAACUCCUCCGGCGAAAUUAGAAGCGGAUGGAUCAGAAAAUCCUCUUUAUCGUGUUUGGAGGAAGAAGAAUUUUAUUGUUCUUGGUUGGAUUCAAGCUGCUGUUGGGCCGUCGAUGUUCUCUCUAGUUAUUAAUCACGACUCUGCCCGAGCUUGUUGGGAAAAUCUUGAUCUUCAUUUAUCACCAAGAAAAAUUUGUCAUUCGCAAAGCUUGAGGGAUGAGCUCCGAGCCUUGAAGAAAUCCGACUCUGUGAGCAUGACAGAUUUUGUUAUUAAAGUUCGAGCCCUAAUCGACAGUUUGUCCGCUGCUGGAGAUAAUCUUGCCGAUAGGGAUAAAAUUGAUUUCGUUUGUGAUGGGCUUGGAUCUGAGUAUCGCCCUUUUAUGUCUUCAAUACAUUCACAGCCGAAUCUUCUGUUUGAACAGUUUAUACAUCUAGUAAUCAGAGAGGAAGCAUUCCUCAAGCGUCAUUUUCUAAACAACCCCAAGUCCGAUGAUCCUCCGGUUAAUGCAUUUGCUGCAAGAUUCAGAUCUGGACAUGAUUCUAGAAACAAUUACAGGAAUGACUCCAACAAUUACAGGAAUCAGAAGGGAAAUUCUCUUCCUAAUAAUAAUAAGAAGAGUGAUUCUAAAAAUCGUUGGAGAAGAUCUAAAAAUUCUAAUUCUAAUUCUUCUAUUGUUUGUUAGAUUUGUGAUACACCAGGGCAUUCAGCAAAGACAUGCAGGAAAAUUCUAAAGGCAUUUGCUGCUGUUACUGAUGACUCUACAGAAGGAAAUUGGAUCUUGGAUUCUGGAGCUUCGGCUCAUAUGACUCCUGACCUCGAUAACUUAUCAGAGGCUCAGGAGUACUCAGGUAACUCUUUCAUUACAAUUGGUAAUGGUUUAGGAUUACAUAUAUCUCAUAUUGGAAAUAUUAAACUAAAAUCUGAAUUGGGUGUAUUAAUUCUUAAAAAUGCUUUAUGUGUUCCAAAAUUAAAAAUGAACUUAAUUUCGUUACAAGCAAUGUCUAAUGAUUUAAAUUGCAAAUUUAUACUAAAUGGUAAUAAAUUUUCAGUUAAUGACAAUGAAUCUGGAAAACAAAUUUUAAAUGGAUUUGGAUCAAAUGGAUUGUAUUUUGUUAAUCAUUAUAGGAAACUUAACUGCAAUUUGUCUAUGGUUAAGCAAAUGGCAGCUUCAUCUGUUCUAUCAAUACCAUAUAACAUUUGGCAUAUGAGAUGUGGACAUCCAUCAUCUCGUAUCAUUUCUGAAUUAUUUAAGAUUCACAAUAUUAAAACUAAUAAAUGUAAAGAAAAAUGUAUUGUAUGUCCUAUGAAUAAAAUGAAAAAAUUGCCCUUUAAAUCUAGAAUAAAGUAUAGUAACAUACCUUUAGGAGUUUUACAUAUGGAUGUGUGGGGCCCCGCACCUACAAUUUCAAUUCAUGGUUAUAGAUAUUACUUACUUAUUGUAGAUGAAUAUUCAAGAUUUUCUUGGUUUUAUCCUUUAAAAACUAAGGAUGAAGUGUUUGAGAAUUUUAAAGGAUUCCAAAAACUUAUUAAGAAUUCUCUAGAUUGUAAAAUCAAAUCCAUACAAUCAUAUUGUGGUGGAGAAUUUCUAAAUUCAAAAUUCACUAACCAUUGUAAGGAAUUUGGAAUCAAACAUAGAUUUUCUACUCCUUUCACUCCUGAACAAAAUGGCUUAGUAGAAAGGAAACAUGGACAUCUUGUAGCAAUGACAAGAUGUUUCUUCUUUCAUUCUGAUAUCCCGAAAGAAUAUUGGGUUGAAGCUUGUAGUUCUUCUGUUUACACUCUUAACAGACUUCCUUCAAAGAAAUUAGGGUUUCAGUCACCUUUUUCUUUGUUAUAUAACAAAGAACCAGAUAUUAGGUACCUUAGAGUUUUUGGCUCUCUAUGUUUUCCUCUUAUUCCCAAACAUUUAAGAAAUAAGUUUCAACCAACUUCUUCUUAUUGUUGUUUUCUAGGAUAUUCAUCAUCUCAUAAGGCAUAUAAAUGUCUUAGAUUACAUGAUUCCAAGAUAAUAAUUUCUAGAAAUGUACAAUUUCAUGAAAAUGUUUUCCCAUAUAAAGAUUAUAAGGUCAUAUCAGAAACGACUAAGACCUCUCAAAAACCAAUUCAAAAUAUGGUUAGGCUUCCACUUCCUAUAGAUAAUGAAGAACAAAUUGUACAGCCUUUAAAUUCUAGAGAAACUCAAGAAGUUUCGGUAAACAUUCAAAAUUCUGAAAAUACAAGAGAGAAUACUGAAGAAUCUACUUCUCCCAUAGAAAUUUCUAAUGGAAUUAGUAAUCAACAAUCCAUAAUAAAUCAAGAACCUAUUAUUUCCUCUAGCACUAUACCCCAACACAUAACUACAACAAUACCUCAAACUAUAGUGAAUGAAUUUAAUACACAUACACAAGUAAGAAGAGGUAGUAGAAUUUCAAAAUUUCCUUCGAAAUACGACAUUUUUGAAGUAAAUAUACCAAAGACAUUAGUUGUUCAAACAGUUGAAGAUUUACAAGAAACUCCCAAAAAUUACAAACAAGCUAUGACGACACCCCAUUGGCUUAAAGCUAUGAAAGAAGAGUAUCAAGCUUUAAUCGAUAAUAAGACCUGAAAUCUAGUUUCUCCUGAACAAUACAUGAAUGUUAUUGGAACAAAAUGGGUAUUCAAAAUUAAAAGGAAAUCAGAUGGAACAAUUGAAAGAUACAAGGCCAGACUAGUGGCACAAGGGUUUAAACAACAUGAAAAUGUUGAUUAUGGACUGAUAUACAGCCCAGUAGUUAAGUCUUCAACUAUUAGGAUUAUUCUAUCUCUAGCAGUAAAUAAUAGCUACAUUCUCAGACAGAUUGAUGUCAAGAAUGCUUUUUUACAAGGAGAACUAAAAGAGACAGUAUUCAUUGCUCAACCCCCGGGUUUUGCAAAUUCUAAAUACCCAGAAUCUGUAUGUCAUUUGAACAAAGCUAUAUAUGGGUUGAAACAAGCCCCCAAGGCUUGGUAUUCCAGACUUAGUAGCUUCUUAAUUUUAAAUAAUUUUACAAAUAGUCAGGCCGACACUUCACUGUUUACUUAUGAUCAAGACGACAUACUCAUUUGGGUGGUCAUAUAUGUAGAUGAUUUAAUCAUCACUGGAAACAACAACAAUGAAGUGGAAACAUUUAUCAGACAUUUGUGUCAAGAAUUCAGAUGCAGAGAUCUGGGUCUGUUAAAGUAUUUUCUAGGAAUGGAAGUAGUUUAUAAUUUUGAUGGAUCUCUUGAUCUUCAUCAGUCUAGGUAUGCAAUUAACAUUCUUGGCAAAAACAAUAUGUUAAAUUGUAAACCUUGUAAAUACCCAGUUCUUCCAAAUUCAAAACUAUCUAAAGAUGAAGGGACAGUUGCACAAGAUGUUACUGGUUUUAGAGCAUUAGUAGGCUCUUUACAAUAUCUUUCACUCACUCGGCCAGAUCUUACUUACUCCAUUAACCAAGUGGCUCAAUUUGUGAAUGAACCAAAAACAUCACAUUGGGUUGCUGCUAAGACACUACAAAAAACCAGCGCAAUUCUGGCGCCCAUCUCCCGGCGGCCUGGCCGCCGGUAGAUACUUUCGUCGGCCUGGCCGCCGGAAUGUUACACUUGUCCGUCUGCAUAAUUUUCCCUCGUAAAUGAGAGAAAUUUUCUGGCGGCCAGGCCGACGAAAUAUUUUUUUGUAAAAAAUUCUAGCGGCCUGGCCGCCAGCUCCAAUUCACCAACGGUCGGGAAGAAGUGAUCCGGCGGCCUGGCCGCCGGUAUACUAAAACCCUCAACGGUCGGGAGAAAAAUUCCCGGCGGCCUGGCCGCUGGAUACUUUUUCCCGCUUGUUUUUUUCAGUAGCCGGCGGCCUGGCCGCCAGGAUUUGUUGGAAACCCUAAAAUUACAACUUGCGCCGCCGUGGUCCCCCGUACAGUCAAACUUAGUCAAACGAAACUUAAGUAUUUCCCGUCGGCCUGGCCGCCGGGAAAUUUUUAUAUAAAAAAAAAAUUUCCAGACUUUUCUCAUUUCUCCCAACGGUUUCCUCACUUCUCCAAACUCUCCCAAACUUCUCCCAAGGUUUCGAAAGUUCUCCCCAAGGGCGUUUGAUUGAGCACUCCGGCCAUUCCUCCCCAAGGUAAUAAUCUCCCCUUCUUGAUCUUCAUCUUCAUGUUCUACUUCUUCAUCUUCUCCUUAUCUUAUUAUAUUUUAUAUUAUCUUUUUCUAUUCUUCUACAUUUUCUAUUUUUUUCUUCAUUUGAUGUAUGUUAUUUGAUUAAAUUAGGGGGUUAUGGUUGUAUGACAUUGGGGUUCAUGUAUUUGUGGGUUUAUGACAUUUAGGGUUUAUGUAUUUAUUAUUUGGGGGCUUAUAUAUGUAUUUGGGGGUUUGAUUUUAUGGUUAGAUGUUAGGUUGAUUUAUUGUAGUUAGAUUUUAGGGUUUGAUUUAUUGAUGUUAGGUUUAUUAUUUGUUGGUUUUUAUUUAGUUUAUUUACUGAUGUUAUUUAGGGGGGUUUAUUUACUGUUUUUAGUUUAUUUUUAUCAUUUAUUGAUUUUAGUUAAUUUAGAUUAGGGUUUUACUGUUUUUAUAAUUUAGAUUAGUUUAUUUAGUUAAUUUACUGUUUUUAGGGGGGUUAGUUUAUUUUUAGGGGUUUUGAUAUUGGGGGUUUUAUUUAGGGGUUUAGAUAUUGGUGGUUUGAUUUAGUUUUGUUUAUUUUAGUUAAUUAUAGUUAGUUAAUUAAUUGACUUAUGUACUGUUUUGAUUAUAUUUGAUUUAGUUAGUUAGUUAAUUAUAUUUGAUUUAGUUAAUUGACUUUAUUUGUAAUAUAUGUACUGUUUUGAUUUUAAUUGUGAUUUUAAUAUAUUUAGUUGUGAUUUUAGGGUGUCGUACUCUAUGUGGAAAGAUUUUUUUUUUUUUGCAAUCUAUGUAAUGGCUAGAUUGUGCAUGUCUAUGGUAUUGUACUCAUGUAAUCUAUGUAAUCUAUGUAAUCUAUGGUAUUGCAAUCUAUGUACUGUUUUUCAUUUAGAUAGGGUGUCGUACUCUAUGCAAUCUAUGGUAUUGAAAUUCCUUUUUAAGUUGUGCAUGUUUUGAUGGAAUUGACGUGAUAUUUGUGCAUGUUUUUAUGUAUGUAAUGGUUGCAAUCAGGAUGUAGUUUUUUUGUUUAGCAAAUCAAUUCCAUUAUAAUAUUAAUGUUAUGACAGCAUGUAAAAUCAAGUGUGGUACAUUGUUUUGAUGUAAAAAUGAAAAUGAAGUUGAUUUUAAUUUUCGUAUUCAUGCAAAUCGAUGUGGGACAAAAUGUAGGAUUUUAGGAUUUGCUUUGAAUAGGUAAGAGCAACAAAAUGAAGUUUUUUUGCUUUGAAUUGGAAUUUAUUUUUGCUUUGAAUAGGUUUUUUGGUUGAUUGGGAUUUAAUAUGAUAUAUGUACUGUUUGUAGUAUUUAUUGGUGUUUAUGUAGUGUUAAUUUAGUGAAAUUUAAUUUCUAUGUUAAAUUUAUUUUAGGUUGAAGCAUUCUUCUAAUCCGGCCGGCCACUUCUCUCCGGUCAUUGUCGAAUUUAUCUUCAAGGUAUGGUUUACAUUAUGUUCAUCUUCUUCUUUUUUUGUUGUUUUUAAUUUGGGGGUUUAUGAUUUGGGGGUUUAUGAUUUUGGGGUUUAUGAUUUGGUGGUUUUUUAUUUGGGGGUUACUUUCCAAUUUAUUGUAGUUAUUGUAGUUUUUUUCUUCUAAUUUAGGGUUUAUGAAAUUGGGGGUUUAUAAUUGGGGCUUAAAAUAAGUUAUUGGGGGGUUAUGAAUUUUUGGGGGUUUACUGAAUUUGUUACUGAAAAUAAGUUAUAAUCGGCGGCUUACUGAAUUUUUGUGUAUUUUUAGUCCUUAAAAUAAGUUAAAUUAAUAUCUUUAUUUUUGCAUUGUUUUUGGCUUGUUGUAAUGAAAUCCUAUUAACUUAUCAACCCAUGUCACAAUAAGUUUAUCAAUACAUUUGCUUUAAAAAAAUAUAUCAAUACAUUGAGACGUUUGGUAACUUCAAAAUUACCAAACUUUAGCUGCACUUGAGAUUAUCAAUACAUUGAGAUUUUUAAUAAAUAUUUACUUCCUCAUAAUGUUUUAUAUUUUUCAGGCUUUAGCUGCACUUGGACUGAAAGUAGGUGGAACUGUUAAGCAGCGAGCAGAUCGGCUUUUUUUGACAAUGGUAAAACUAUGAAAUUCUGAAAUAGAUCAUUCGGAGUCACACUUAAUUUACUGAAAUGUCCAACUAAAAAUAUAUACCAUUGCAAGUUAGGCUACUCAUCACUCAUAAACGAUAGUCUCAUCACUCAUCACUCUUAAUAUUAAUUUUUUUUAAUCUAAUUAGUUAAUCUAAUUUGCAUGUUAGUUAGAAAUUAGUUAAUCUAAUUUGCAUGCUAAGUAAUAGUAAAAUGAAAUGCAUGUUCUUAAAUUGUGUGAAUUGAAAAUGAAUGCAAAUUUUUUAAAAUGAAUUCUAUAAAAUGAAAUGAAUUGAAAUGCAUGAUUUAAAAAGAAUUCAUGAGUUAAAAUGAAAUUUAAAUUUAAAUAAAUGAAAUAAUUAUUUAAAUAAAUGUUUAGUAAUGUGAUUUUUAAUUAGUUUUUAAUAAAUGUUUAGUAAUUAUUUAUUAAUUAAAUUAUCUAAAAAUUAAAAUCACAUUUUUUAAUAAAUUGUUUAAAAAUUAAAAUGCCAUGUUAGGGUUAGGGUUAGGAUUGUAAUGUUUAGAAAUGCAGUGUUAGGGUUAGGGUUAGGAUUGUAAUUUUUUAUAAUUGAAUUUUAAUUAUUUAAAAAUUAAAAUCAUUUAUUUAUUUAAUUAAUAAUUAAAUAAAUAAUUAUUUAAUUAAUUAAUAAUUGAAAAAAAGUAACAAUCAGAUUUUGUAUAAGUGUGAUUGUUAGUUAGUUUUCAAAUAAUUGUUGAAUAAUCAAUUAUUCAUUAUUAAUUAUUUAUUUAUUUAAUUAACUAAUAAUUAAUAAUUAAUUAAGAAAAUAUUAGAAAAUCCAUAAAUCAGUUUUUAUAUUAAGAACUUGAUUUAAAAUCCAAUGUUGAAAACAAUUAUUUGAAAAUUAAAAUCAUUAUUAUCUUUAUUUAAUUAAUUAUCUUUCGAUUAAUUAGAUUAUCCUUAUUUUUUUAGAUGUAUUGGUUAAUAGUAGCAUUCGUUAUAUCGGUUUUCAUGGUCGUCACGACUCCCGAUCGGAGUGAUGAUCAUUCAACUGACGAACAAGAAUAUGAUCAUCCGAAUCUACAUGAGAUGAACAUGGCUGGUGAUCAAACGAAGAAAAAAACAAGAGAACAAAACAAAGAUCAUUCUGAAUAUCAUCUAUCACAAGGACAACGGUUUAUAAUAAAAUUCAAAAAUGAUCAAAUUGUCCAUGAUAGCGUAGGAAAAAAACUAAACAAGAAAUGCGCAAUGAUCGCGAACGAUUUCAAACUUCUACCAAUGGACGUACCCUGGUUUGAACAAGACCAGAAAAACAUAGAUGAGGCGAUGGAAACGAUUCAGGUUUAUUAAUUAAUAAUAUUUAAUUAUUAUUAUAGAUUUUAUAGUUAAUUAUUAAUUAAUGUUAUAAUUAUUCAUCGAACAGAGAGAAUUUGAUUAUAGCGGGUCAACCUUUGGUUAUCGACGUGUCAAUGAAAGGUUAAACAAAUUAUGGAGAAGCGCUUAUAACUCGUUAUUGGAUAAAUAUAAUAACAAAGAUCUGACAGUCGAAGAGGUUAUGAGAACAUUACCCGACUACAUCAUCAAAGACCAAUUUCUAAAAAAACUGAUGGAGAGAAGAUCACCGAGGGGAUUAGUACGUAUUAAUUCAUUUUUUCUUUUUAAUUGCAUUUAAUAACUUAUUUUUUUUUUUAACUUAAUUAUUUUAUUUUAACUUAAUAUAGGAAAUUUCUGAAAUUAACAAAGGCAAUCGGGCUAAACAAACAUCACACAGUUUAGGUUCGAAAAGUCUGGCGCAAAGAAAUUACCUAUAUUAAGUUAAAAUAAAAUAAUUAAGUUAAAAAAAAAAAUNNNNNNNNNNNNNNNNNNNNNNNNNNNNNNNNNNNNNNNNNNNNNNNNNNNNNNNNNNNNNNNNNNNNNNNNNNNNNNNNNNNNNNNNNNNNNNNNNNNNACAAAAGGGAUUAAAUGAUAUUGAAAUUUGGAAACUCAAUAUCAAGGCAGCUUAUCCAAAAGACGAACGAGUGGUACGUAAUCUUUUAUAUUUAUAAUUACAGUUAAUUACUAUUUGUUUGACUACUUUCAUUUGUUUUUUAAGGAUAAAGCGGUUAAUUGGAUAGACAGUGAAGAAGCCAAAAAUAUGGCUCAACAAGAAAAUAUGAAUCACACGGUAAUUAUUUCAUAUUUUUUCCAAUAUAAUUCAAUAGUUAUAUUUACAUUAAUUAUUAUCAUGUUUUCUUUUUCAUUAGGCUCUAAUCCAAUUUGCUAUAACCGAAUUUAUCGGUAGAAGCUCGAAGAAAUCAAGAACAUUAGGAACAACUGGUUCCUCAUUGAGCAAAAAGACAACGCAUCGCAUGAAUGUGGGGAACUUCUGCAUGGACAAAGGAAAAGAUGCAAUGACCGAAGCAGAGGUUCAAGAUAAGGUCAACGAGGCUGUUGAGAGAGCGAUGGCUCGUCAGAAUGAGGCGAUGGCUCGUCAGACUGAGGCGAUGGCUCGUCAGACUGAGGCGAUGGCUCGUCAGAAUGAAGAGUUUAUUGCUCGUAAGAAUGAAGAGUUUAUGGCUCGUCAAAUGGCGUUCUUCCAACAAUACAACUCCGCAAUGCUCGCUCUAAAUCCAAACUUGCGCUUACCGGAGUUUCCGACAAUGUUCAACAACGAUGCAGCGCAAAACAUUUAUACUCCUGGAGCGUCAUCUUCUAGAGCCGCCGCACCGACUACUCAACUACCAACAACGCAAGAAACUACGACGCCUCUACAAACUACGCCACAAGAGGAGCACACCAUUUCGUGCGCAGAAAGAUCGAUAAUAUUCACGAAAGAGGCGCUACGAAAGGUGGUCGGAACUAAAAAGAAGAAAAAGAGCGAAAAAAAGAAGUUAAAUUAGUGACUGUCGAAGUUAAUUUCUGUUCUACAUUAAUUAUUAAACUUCGAAUUCAAUUUCAAUUUUAAUAUCAAUUUCAAUUUUAAUAUCAAUUUCAAUUUUAAUAUCAAUUCCAAUUUUAAUUUUAAUAUCAAUUUCAAUUUCAUUUUUAAUUUUAAUUUUAUUUUCAAUUUCAUAUUAAUUUCAUUUUUUUUUUUUUUCAAAAUUGAACCAGCGGCUAGGCCGCCAGAAAUUUCUUCCCGGGAAAUUUUUUUCCCUGCCGGGAAAUAUUGACCAGCGGCCAGGCCGCCGAAAAAUUAUUUUCCAAAAAUAACAGCCGGCGGCCUGGCCGCCGGGAUAUAAUUUUCAAAAAAAAAAGUCGGCGACUAAGCCGUCGGGACAAUUUCUGUUAAAAUCGGAAUCCAAAUUUUUUUGCCGACGGCCAAGCCGCCGGUAUUUCACAAUUCCGGCAACAUCACUUCCGGCGAUGGAAUGUCGUCGGCUUGGCCGCCAGGAACCAUUAUACCGACGGCCAGGCCGCCAGAACUGCGCUGGUUUUUUGUAGUUUAGGCGUGGAGUCGAUCGACCACCUGUUCUUUAAUUGUGACUACACGAAAUGGGUGCUCCGGGAAGCGUGGGAAGCCAUUGGCUCGCUAGUAAGGUCAGACGGGAUGACUUCAUUCAAGGACGCGGCGCGAGAGCUGAACACUGUGGAAAGAAGAAGAGGAAGCUUACCUGAAUCUUCUUUUACCUGAAGCUUACCGCAUCUAUAAACCUUGAAACCAACGAGUUAUGCUCUCCAUUCCCACCUUCUUCUACCAUUUUCCAUUGAACCAACGACAUUCCGUUUCCUCUCUUGGGAAGAAACAACUGAAACAUCAUCUGCACCUCGUCGAUGAAGGAGAAACCACAGACCGAACAACCCCAGUAGAAAUGGAGACUGACCAGAUCUGUGAGAGUAUAUCCCUCUCGAUGCAGCGCUCAUUUCUGACGGUGGGGGUUUGUUUAAUUUGUCUCAUAAUUUGGUUGUCGUUAACUGGAGAGCGCGACCGACCGGAGAUCGCGAGUGGAAAAAACCCGGAGACGACAGUGAGUGCGAGUUGCAGAACGGAGAACGCGACGAGAGAACAGAGAGCGCGAGUGGGUGGUGAAGAAAACCCAAAAUGGAGUUUCACUGAGAGAAAUGAACUUUAAAAAAAGAGAAGUGGUCAGUGGUCAUAAAUACCGAGGAAUAUAUAAAAGUAGAGAUGGCAGUGUGGCAGUUGUCAUUCGAUUUUUUAUCAUGUUUUUGGUCAUAAAAGUACACUUUCUACAAAGUAAGUUUGACUCAUUGUUCUCAGGAACUAUUAAGGUUUCUGAAAUCCAAAGUUCGAAUCUUACUUUGUACAUUUUCACUUAAAUUACCCGAUGAUAUAUUAUGUGGCUCUGGUAUAUAAUCCGAAGGUUGAUAUAUCCUCCGUUAUCAAAAAAAAAAAAAAAAAAAAAAAAAAAGUACAUUUUCUAUUUUCUUAAUUCACAAUUGUCUAUACGGUCUAAAAUGAUUCAUCUCAUUCUAAAUUAAUUUUCAAAAAAAAAGACGGUUGAGAUUGGAGAGUGCUUUUGAGCGUUUUCAGGUGUUUUCUGAUGUUCGCUUAAAUGUAGUACUUUUCCAUCAACCAGCAUGCAUGGUUAGCUUGUUGGUACGUGCAUCAGUGCAUGGUUAGGUUGUUGGCACGUGAAUCAGUGCAUGCAUGGUUGUUGGCACGUGAAUCAGUGCAUGCAUGGUUGUUGGUGCUUUAUUUUGUCGAUGACUAAGUGAACUUGCAUGUCUUUGAAUUUUUUAUUUGCAAAUAGCAAGUCUUUGAAUUUUUUAUUUGCAAAUAGCAAGUCUUUGAAUUUUUUAUUUGCAAAUAGCAAGUCUUUGAAUUUUUUAUUUGCAAAUAGCAUGUCUUUGAAAUUUAUGUUUUAUUUAUAUCAUAUUAUCAUCGUAAAAGAUGAACUGAUCAGAAUUAAAUUCAAGAUAGACAGAUGACUAAUUCUCCGAUGAGUUCGGUAGUUCCGGCAGUUCCCUUCGCUCUCCUCCCCACGGGCGCUGAAGAGAAGGACGAGGAACUGCGACGGAGCUUCGUGCGUGAUGAAGACGAACGACCCAAGGAUCCCCACAACGUUUUCAGUAACGAAAUACCCGUUAUAUCUCUCGACGGGAUAGAUGACGUCGAUAGACGUGCUGUGAUGUGUCAAAAGAUUGUCGAUGCAUGCGAGGAUUGGGGUGUGUUCCAAGUGAUUGAUCAUGGUGUCGACGUCGAUCUUAUUUCUCAAAUAACAAGUUACGCGAAGGAAUUCUUUGCUCUCCCCCCGGAAGAGAAACUCCGGUACGACAUGACGGGUGGGAAGAAGGGUGGGUUUUUAGUAUCCAGUCAUCUUCAGAAAGAGGUCGUCAGAGAUUGGAGGGAGAUCUUCACCUUCUUCUCGUACCCGAUUGAUGAAAGAGACUAUUCACGCUGGCCGGACAAUCCCCAGGGUUGGACUCCUGUCGUCGAUGCCUACAGCCAGAACAUGAUGGCCCUCGCCGACAAGCUCUUAGAGGUUUUAUCGGAAGCCAUGGGUAUGGACAGGGAAGCUUUAAAAAGAAGCUGCAUCGACAUGCAGCAGAAGCUGGUUCUCAAUUCCUAUCCCAAGUGCCCAGACCCUCAUCUCAUCCUCGGACUCAAGCGCCAUACCGAUCCUGGUACAAUCACACUUCUCCUCCAAGACCAGGUCGGAGGUCUUCAGGUCACCAACGACGGUGCGAAAACUUGGAUCACUGUACAACCGAUACCCGGUGCAAUUGUUGUCAAUCUCGGAGACCAUGCUCAUGUAAGUUGUAAACUAGCUAGUUUGUAACCUUAAUCCUUAUUAAUUUACAUCAACUCUCUCGGGUUUCAAUCAAAUAAGCUAUUUUACAGUUCUUAAGCAACGGAAGAUUCAAAAACGCCGAUCAUCAGGCCGUUGUUAACAAAGAUUCCAGCCGCAUCUCCAUUGCUACAUUCCAGAAUCCUGUUCCUGAGGCUGUGGUUUUCCCGUUGGCCGUCAGAGAGGGAGAAGACCCUAUCAUCGACAAACCAAUGACGUAUGCAGACAUGUACAAGAACAAGAUGGCCAGAGACAUUGAUCUUGCCAACCAGAAGAAGUUAGCUACGGCCGCCGGCCGGACUGCAGCACCGUUCGAUUUAGGGAAAAUUCUCCAAAAAAUGUUGGAUGAAAUUAUUGCUUAGUUACCACUUACCAACCUCUGUGUUUAUCUCAUUGAUCUCCUAUUAUAUCCACCUGUACGGGCUUUAAUCAUGUGUGUCUUAAAUGUUAAUCGUGUAUAAAUUAUCAAAUUAAUCAUGUUUAUUAGAACGAUUUUCGUCGUACAUGUGUUAGUGUCUUUCACAGUACAUUAUUUUAGUCAUUAAAUUAAAUAUUAAUGAACACGAUGUGAUGACGCACGACGACGUAUUUAAGAUACGACGCAUAUGAAACACGUUCAUAAUUAUUAUUAUUCAAAUAUUAAAUUAAAUUUAUGAAAUUUAAAAUUCGAGUCUCGUUAUUUAUCUUUUCACUUUUUUUUGAAACAAUUAAAUUUCAUUAAAAUAUGGCUAAUGCUAAUUAAUUUACAAAAAUAGAGUAUAAAAAUAAAAAUAGAAGUAAAAAGAAAUGAACAAAAAGUUUAUCGACUCUCUCCUAUUAGCUAUGUAGUCUAGUUAUAUAGUAACUAGAUACGUUGCCUCAGGAGGUUAGUCUCCCAUACUUCCAUCAUAGAUGUUUCCAAAAGGUGAAAAUAAUUCUUCUUGUAAUACACUGAAUCAAAUAAGAGACUGAUGUCUUUAAUGAUUUUCACUAUGAUUUACUUCGAAUGUGAUAUAUUUUACCUUCUCUUGUCAAAAAAAUAGCAUUGUAACAAAAGUUCGGUAUUCGACGAACUAUUAGUUUCGUUUAACAUUUUUAUUAUAUUUUAUAUUUAUAUUAUAAACUUGUAUUAUAUAAUUUUUUUAUUAUAAAUUUUUAUUAUAUAUUUCAUAACUUAUGUAUAUUUUUGCAAUUUUUGUUCGGUUAGGAUCGACUCGGUUAUUAGACGAACCGAAUCCAAACCAAGAGUAGGCUCAUUUAUUUAAACGAACCGAACAAAAUACUUAGGUAUUUGGUUUGAUAAGCUCGAAUUACAACGCUACAAAAAAAUAUAGUACAUGCAUAAAUUUUUUAUUAUCGAUUUAUAUUCUUAGUCCAAGAAGGCCCAUAAUCUAAAAGCCCAUUAGGUUAUCUCUCAAUAUAAAUAAAUCUUCUAACUAAAUUAGGUUUAACUUUUUUGCUCUAAAUUUAUUCAAAAAUCGGUAACACUUCUCCCAAAAUCCAAAAUCCAAAAUCCAAAAUCCGCGUCUUCUUCUCUCCUCAUUCUUCUUACUCUUCGAUCGAUCGAUCACACUACUCACACCCUAGUAAUAUUUUUCCCUUUACCUGUUGUCGUGGGCCCGCCCUGAUUUUACCCAAAAACCUGUUUGUUCCGGGUUCGGGACAGACCUGUCUUUUCCCCAGGUUAAAUCAUCAAUCAUUAGGUAACUAAUUUAACUAUAAUUCAGUUACAGCCUUGAUUAACCUGUGGUCAAUUAUAAAAACCAGCAAGUAAUUUCUUGGAUCGUUUAGGUUGAUACAAGAAUCAGUGAAGGAUGGUGGGUUUAAAGAUCAAUGAUAUCGUGGGUUUGAUGAAAUACCACCCGAUUCCGGUUGUUUUUGCUGCAACUUUUCUAUUAUUCAUAGUCGUCGAGCACAACAUUGUUAUGGUUCCGGCAUAUUCUCCUCCGUUUGACGUUGGAUUCUUGCUGACUCGUCCAAUGAACACCUUCCUUGCCAGCAAACCAGCUCUGAAUAACACACUCGCUGCUCUUAAUACGGUAAAAAAUCCAACUUUUCCGAUGUACAAUAUAUAAGAAUAUAACUGAAACACAGGGUAAAUAAGCAAUUUACCAUAAGAACAAACUUAGGACUUAAGUGUAAUAUAAAUAACCCAAGGGUUAUGACAAAACAGGAUUAACUGUUUUGUUAUAAACCAACAGGGUCUCUUUUAUAAAAGUUUCAAUAAACGUUAAUUGGACAUAAGUGCAAUUAAAAGAAACUAAAGGUUUUUCGCUGUAUAACUGAGAUUCAGAAAUACAAGGAUUAAAACGUAAAAGUUUCAAUUAUUCAGUUAUAAUUAACUUGAGGACUGUUAUGCAAAUAACACAAAAUAAAUCAGGUCAAAUGGACCUGGUUGAUAUUACUAAUAACUUUGUGUACUUGUGCAGAAUUAUUACAGCUAAUCGGGUUGGACUUUAAAUUGAAUUGAAUCAAGAUUCUGCCCAAGUAACUUAGAAUUAAAUUAGUUACUUUUGUUAUAGCUGUUAAUAGUCUUGUAUUUAGUAUAAAUAAAAUGUAAUUAAGAGUUAAGAAAUACUCAAGUUUUACAGGUUAAUCAUUACAUAAAAAGAUUAACUAUUUUUCAAUUUCACCCCUCUUUUCUCUCUUUUACAAAGUCGCGUCCGGUAGUUAAUUCCGGUUCUCCCCCAAACUCGACUAGGCGGAAAACCCUAGCUCCGAUCAGCCUCUCCGGCGGACAGAAGUCUUACAAACUCUGGGAAGACAUCACAUUGCUGUUGGCGACGCCUCCUGUACAGUUUUUAAUAUGGAUCUCUCCAUAAUCUAACCACAACAUGUCCAGACAUAGCAUAUUCAGUAAACAAGAUUUCAUUAUUUUUCAAUAAACCAAUAGCUAUUCAUUGGCAAGCUUUACAAAGAAUAUUGAGAUACAUAUCAGGAAAUCCAUUCGCAGCUAUUCAUCUUCGACCAAUGUUUAUUAAAUAAGAGUAACCAAGAUAAAAAACAACCAACCAAGAUAAAAGUAAAUAAGAGUAUAUAUAUAGUUAGGGUUUGGCCCAAGUGACUGAAUUAGUCACCUGUGCCCAAAUAGCGGGCCUCAACACAAUGUCUUCAAAUAUGCUUGAAGCGUACUCGGACGCUGAUUGGCCGGGCAGGUGACACAUCCGAUUGCAGGAGUCAUGGAGCGUGGAUAACUUACUUUGGAGGCAAUAUCUGGUGUCAUUGGCAGUAAAGGAAACAUCGAUCCCACAGCAACGUGGUCACCAACGGAGGUGGAAUGUCGAAGCCUAGCCGAUGCUGCCACAGAAAUCAUUUGGCCGAAGAAAGUCUUAACAUAGCUUGGAAUUCAUACAUCGGACCAGCGGUAGUAUGGUGCGAUAAUGUUAGUGCAGGAUACCUAAGUGGCUAAGCGUAAUUCCAAUCCUACAUUCAACCACCAAGCAUGUGGCGGUGAGUUAUCACUUCGAAAUUCAAAACUAACUAGAAGGUUGUUGAUAAGAGUAAGCAAAUCUGCUUACUAAUCGGAUAAUGUUUUUCAUACUUGCGAGACAAACUAAUCGGAAUUAUUUCCCUUAGUUCGAGGGAGGAUAUAGAGUAACUAACUAACUAACAAUAUACAUAAGUCAGUUAUUGAAUAGUUAACAAACAAAUGUAUCUAUAAAUACCUUGGUAUAAUUAAUGAAAGAAUAAUACUUGAUUAUAUUAUAUCUAAACAGUCAAUUAAUGAAAUACAAGAACAUGAAAUAAUGCUUAUAUAUCUAAACAUGUAAUUAAUGAAAUAUAAGAAUAUACAACUAGUUAUAUAUAUAUAUAUAUACAUAAACAUGCAUGUAAGGUCAGUUUCUAGUGAGGGCUUUUAAAAAAGAUGGAAUCUCACACAUUCCAUUCCUUUCAUGUUUAAUACAUAACAUCACAUGAUUCCUCAAAAUGUGGGUUGAAAAGUAAUUAAUAGUUUCGAUGAGAUAUUGAAAAAAAAAUUGUGACAUGAAAUUUCAUCUCCUCGAGAUGACCUCAAAAUGUGAUCGGCAAAUUAAAAUAAAAAUAUCGUUCAGUUUAAAUUGUAGGAUUAAAAAUUAAUGGUAGGAUAAAUAAUACUCACAAUUUCUAAUAGAAGAUAUCUAACCAUAAUCGUUUUCAUAUAUAUACACACACACACGUACGGCGUACUUCAGAUACUUCGAAAUUCAAAACGUCAUGAUACGUUAAAUAAAUCUGACCAUUUCGUUCCAUUUUAUUAAACAUUGACCAAAUAAAUCUGACUGUACAAGACGUAUAUAGUUUAGUACAUAUAUAGGUAGUGUGAGUGACAAUAAAAUGACUGUCGUUGAAUUAAACGACGGACUGAAUUAGUUCGGCGUACAAUACAUGACGCAUUGAAUCUCAACGUAUCAGAAACUAGUUGUAUAUAUAUAGAGAGAGAGAAAUAAUUUUCAUCAUUCGUUUGUAAUCCAUUGAUCGAAAUUACGUUGUGCACAUAUUACUAUUUUACGUACGACGUAUGACGGGGAUCUCGAUAAUUAUUUCUGACGUUAUCGGUAGGACAUCUCUUUACCUAAUGUCGUACAAUAUAUACAAAUUUUAACUUUAGCUACAGUUCCUUACUUAUCAUCCUUUUUGUUUUACUAAAAUUAGAAAAAAUAUUUGUGGUAUACUUUAUCAACACUUCGUACAACCUUUCAUCAAUUGUUUUGAUAUAUUGAUUGACAUAGUUCACACAUACUAUCCAUUUGUUGACAUGGUCCACGAUGCAAGUAGGCCAAUUGAUUUGCAUGAUGAAAAAUCGACCUGUCCAAUAUCGAUGGAUGUAUCCGUAUAAGAGGUAAUUUAGUAUUUUUUUCGAAAUUUAUAGUGUUAUAUAUAUAUCGAUUUGAUAUAUAUUUCUUUUUUUUCAGAUUUAUGUUUUUCUUAAAAAAGAAAAUUCGCAAUAAGGCAUACGUCGAAGGGUCUAUUGCGGAGGCUUACAUUGCUGAAAAACUAUGCACAUUUUGCUUAAUGUACUUUGACAGUACAUUCGUAUCGAAAUUUAGCAGAAAAUCGAGAAACUUUGACGGUGGAGUAAUUGAAUCUGCUGGUCGUUUGUCGAUAUUCGCUCAACAAGGUCGUGCCUUAGGAGGUGGUGACCGUAGAUAUUUAGAAAAUAGAGAAUACACUGUUAUAAUGAUAUACGUGCUCCUCAAUUGCGAUGAAGUGGAACCGUUCGUCAGAAAAUUUGAAGAAGAAUUGUUGGAAACAUACCCAAACAUGUCUGACGAAGAAUUGCAACAAAAGACUGAUUCAGAAUUUCAUCAAUGGUUCAAAAAUCAAAUGAAUGAUGUUGAAAACACUCGUCUACGUAUUCUUGCAAGAGGUUCUAGUAAAGAAAUUGUUAAUUACAAGACAUAUAUUAUAAAUGGAUUUAGAUUUCAUUCGAAAAGCGAAGAUGAGAAUAAGACAUCACAGAACUAUGGCGUAAUGGUUCGAGGAUCUUCUUCAUAUGAAGACGAUGAAAAUAACUAUUAUGGGGUUCUUGAAGAAAUUGUAGAACUUGAUUUUCUUAACGAUGACACUCGAAUUUGUAUGUUCAAAUGUGUUUGGUUUGAUAUACACAAGGGUAUUAAAACUGAUAAAUUCAAGACGGCGACGAUCAAUAUAUACACAUUCUAAACUCAGAGCAUACGAACCUUUCAUUUUCGCAUGGCAAUCCGACCAAGUGUGUUACAUACCGAGUGUUUCUGAAAAAUCUAACGAUCGGCACACAAUCCUUAGAACGAAAGCUCGAGAUACAAUUGAUAUUUUUGAAAAAGAUUUGGAUACAUAUCAAGACGAUUUCAGACGAUUUUAUCGAAUACGAUGUCAACGUCAUCAACAAUGACAACCAAAUUUAUGAUAUCCCUCUGAGCAGUCAUAAAUUUACCGAAGAAUCGAACAAUGAUAUUAAUGACAGUAACAAUGAUAAUGAACAUAAUUGUGAUGAUAAUGAUAGUACUGAUAAUAAUGAUUCAUCUAGUGACAAUGAAAUGAGUUUUUAAUUUAAUUGUAAGUCUAUUUUAUUAUACUUUUAUUAUUUUUAUGUUAUCGUGUUUGAUUAAAUUUUUUAGUUUUCAAAUAUGGUACAUGGAAGAAUUGGACGGCCACGGGAACGUACUUUUAGGGGACGAGGACAACCUGACAAUGUUGUUUCUUGGAUUUUAACAAAAAUAUUUUCGAAGGAAAUUCCCCAACCCUCGAAACCAUUUCAAGACCAGAUACUGGCUUGUGGGUAAGUAUUUUUAAAUUGAAUAAAUUUAUUUUUAAGAUAUUAAUAAACUUCAACCUAUAUAGAUCAUUUCCAAACAACAUCCGAAAACAAAUCGGAUGUAUAAUACUUAAACCGAACAUUCCUGACGAUGAGAUUUCUUGGGCUCAAUGGAGUGAUGAGAACAAGACUCUAGUCUGGAAUAAAUUUCCGGUACUCUUUAAAUUUGGUCUACUUUCUUUUUUUAUUUUUCUAAUUAGUUAGAGAUAUUAACAACUUAUUUUUCGCUUUUAGACCACUACAAGAAAUAAGACCUUGUAUGGCGAUCUUUAGAUGGCGGAAAUCUGCCAUCUAAAAAUUUUCAAUUCCCGCGAAAAUUUUCAGAUUAGAUGGCGGAUUUCCACCAUAUAAAAUAUGACGCGGAAAAAGUUUGGCGCCAAUUUAUUGAUGACUGUUAAUUUUAUUGAUGGCGGAUGUCUGUCGACUAUCUUUGUAACAUUAGAUGGCGAAAAUCCAUCAUUUAAAGUACAUCAGGCGGUUCCCUAAGUUUAUAGAUAACGGAUAUCCGUCAUCUAUUCCUGGGAGAGGGUGAUUAUGCCCAUAUUUAGAUGGAGGAUUUCCACCAUCUAAACCUUAGUAAAAGAGUAUGGAUGGCGGAAAUCCGCCAUACAAUGCUUGUUUAAUUUUUUUAAAACAGACUUCUAUAUUUUGCGUUCGAAUCGUUGUUUUUUGAAUUAGAAAUCGAUAUUUGAGAAAGCGAUUUUUAAAUUGAAAUUGAAAUCGAUGUUUUUAUUAAAAAUAAACUAAAUUACAGAAUCGUUAAACAUUCGAUGUUUGAAUAAGCAAAUAUAAAUAUAGUAAUUAUCAACACUCGUCUGAAAUCGAGUCUUCUAAAUCAGAAUCCGAAAUAUCUAAUUCUAAUGCAGUCCGGAAAUCUUCAAAGUCUUAUUGAAUUUCUUAAUAUAAGAUUUCAUGGCAUUAAACUUGUUCUUGUAUUUAGAAACGUCUUUCUGACUCUCGUUACACUUGUUCUGAAAAUGAAAAUAAAAAUGAGUUUGAUAAUCAACAAAAUUAUUAAAAUAUAUUUAAAAUACCUCCAAUUCCUUUAAUUUUUCAGACCAAACUGCAUUUGGUGCUGCAUCAGUAGUCGUGUUUCGGAGAUAGGCUCUUUUCCUUUCCAAUUUGGAGAAGCCUAUCUUUCGUUCGUUGUGCUCACCAUACUGGCAGCUUCUCCAAUUCCUAUGAUCUUGUUCUUUUUAUUUUUUCCGAAAAUCUUAUUGACCGUCGCUUCGAUAAAUUGCUGCAUUAUAAAAAGUAAAUAAAUAGUAAAUGUGAAAUAUGUUUAAAAUAAUCAAUGGAACUUACAAAUGGAGUCAUUCCUUCAGAUUCAGCCCACGAUUUUGCUUCUUGACUUUUGAUAAAAUCCGUGGCUUCAAGUUGAAAGAAUAACAAAAUCAAACAAUGAUAAUAGAAAUUAUAAAAUAUAAAUAAUUUAAAAAAAAGACUUACAACUUAAUCGCUUCCCUUAUAUGUCAUUUGUAAAGUCUCGGACCAAGCUUCGACUUCACUCCUUCCUUGUUGCAUCUAUAUUCACAUAAUUAAUUAAUAUAUAAAUAAAUUAGAUAUAAAUUAUGAAUAAAUUACCGAUUCAUGACGUCGUUGCGCUAAUCCUUUUGAACCAACGUGAUGUGUUAUUUGAUUCGCUCGGUUCGCAGUAUUUAUCUCGGAAAUUUGCUAAAAUUAUAAAAAAUAAUAAAUUUCUAAAUUUGUUAAUAUAAAAAAAUAUAUACAUAUACAUACUUGUCUUCUUUUCGAUCGAUGUUGUCUCAAUUUAUUCAGAAAUUGAGGUUUGUUGACAUACGGUGGAAGAGUCGUUAAAAUAUCUUUUUCACUCAUAUUAGGAUCCGAGCCAUAAGUUUUAACCAAAGAAUUAUGCUUGCUCCUCCGAGCCAUAAGUUUUAACCAUGAUAUUACAUUUAAAAUAUUAAAUUAUAUUGUAAUGUAAUAUUUUAUAAUUUAAUUACAACAAUCAUCAUUAUCAACAUCGAAAAUAUCUCUAUUUGGUAUUUUAAGGACGGAACUCCAUUCAGAUUCUACCGAAUCUUGAAUGUAGAAACAUUGUUGAGCCUGAUUUGCCAAAAUGAAAGGUUCCUUUUCAAAUUUUUCCCGUGUCGUGUUCACUGAAACGACACCAAAAUCAUCGACUUUUGUACCUGUUUUUCCAGGAUCGUACCACUUACAUUCAAACAGACAAUAUUUAGUCAUGUGACCAUAGCAAAUUUCGAAAACAUUUUCUAAUAAUCUAUGAUAUUCAAUUUCUGCUUCCAACGGAGCAUCAUUUGGAGAUUUAGCGUACGUUGAUGUUGUAGCCGAAAGAAAAAUACCGUUAUUUUGCGUCGAUUUACGAUUUGUCAAUUCUGAUGUCUGAAAUUUUAAUCCAUUCAUAAUGUAACCACUAUAAAUUGAAGCAAAAUAACUUGGUCCGCGGGAAAUAGAAUUUAAAUCUGUGUUGGAUUGUUGAGUUUCGGACAUGUGUUUCUUAAACCAUUCGGUAAAUUGUUUGAAGUGUAAAUUUUUCAGACGGAGCUGCGUGUGUUUUGGAAACAUAACUUUCAAUUGCUUCAAGUGUUUAUUUCGAUAUGGUUCGACAUUUUCAAGGUCAAACAAUAUUCAUUGAUGCAACUGUUUCUGUUGUAAAGUAGUCAACGUUAUAUCAGUCGGUGCAUUUAAAAACCCAUCGAUAUACCUAUCUGACCGAUUUAAUUUUGUCUCGACAUUUUGUAAAAAACCGAGAACAAAACGGCAUUGAUUCUUUAACAAGGUAACUUUCCGCAAUAGAUCCUUCUGGGUGACUACGUACGGUCACAUGAUUUUUUAAAGUCAAAAGAUACCUAAAAUGAGAAUAUAUAUGGUAUGAUCAAGACAUAUGAAUUAUAAAUUUAUUUAUAAUUGUAUAAAUAUAUAUACCGCUCAAUCGGAUACAUCCAUCGAUUAAAGACGGUUUGGCCAUAAUUCCAUCUAAUCCUAAAUUGUAAUUAACGACGGCCAAUGCCGUCUCUAAUCCUUCCCUAAUAAUUAGAGACGGAUAUGAAGGUCGUCUCUAAAAAAUCAGACGAGGCGAGUUUCGGGGAAGGAUUAGAGACGGUAAAAAACCGUCGUCAAUCAUCAAUUAACGACGGUUUUUGAUGAUUAGAGACGGUUUCUGACCGUCACUAAAAGUCAGUAAUCUGGUAGUGAUAUUUGGUAUUUUGUAAUGGUUUAGGCACCAAAAAAUUGACACGGAAAAAAAUUAGGGACGGAUUAAAGACAGUUUGGUCAUAAUUCCAUCUAAUCCUAAAUUGUAAUUAACGACGGCCAAUGCCGUCUCUAAUCCUUCCCUAAUAAUUAGAGACGGAUAUGAAGGCCGUCUCUAAAAAAUCAGCGAGGCGAGUUUCAAGGAAGGAUUAGAGACGGCAAAAAACCGUCGUCAAUCAUCAAUUAACGACGGUUUUUGAUGAUUUGGGACGGUUUCUGACCGUCACUAAAAGUCAGUAAUCGGGUAGUGAUAUUUGGUAUUUUGUAAUGGUUUAGGUGCCAAAAAAUUGACACGGAAAAAAAUUAGGGACGGAUUAAAGACGGUUUGGCCAUAAUUCCAUCUAAUCCUAAAUUGUAAUUAACGACGGCCAAUGUCAUCUCUAAUCCUUCCCUAAUAAUUAGAGACGGAUAUGAAGGUCGACGGCUCUAAAAAAUCAGACGAGGCGAGUUUCGGGGAAGGAUUAGAGACGGUAAAAAACCGUCGUCAAUCAUCAAUUAACGACGGUUUUUGAUGAUUAGAGACGGUUUCUGACCGUCACUAAAAGUCAGUAAUCUGGUAGUGAUAUUUGGUAUUUUGUAAUGGUUGAUCUUUUGAAUUCAAUGAUAGAUGUUAAGCUUUUCUGAAACUAAUUUUUAAAUAUAUAUUAUCUUUUAAUUUGCAUUUUUUAAUCAAUUUGUGAUUUUUCUUUCUCAAUUCUUUUAGGGUUUAUACGUAAUUGUUUUUUUUUCCUACUCUUUCCUUCUUCUUCUUUUCUUCUAAUUUGUACUGGUGUAAAACAGUUAAUUAAUUCCUACCAAUGUGUGAUCUUAAUUUGUUUUUGAACAGCUAGCCAAUAGUGUGAAUAUAUUAUGGGCCAAGCCCGUUGUUGUUAUCCUGCCAUCUCUGAUCCUUCCGGUUAGCGGUUUGUGGUUUGAUGAAUCACCGUACCUAGCUUUUAGCUUUCUCUUUUUAUAAAUACCCUCCAACUCAUAUCAAACAUCAAACAGAGUGAGAGAGAGAGAGCAGUGCAGGUAUCAAUGGCAGCCACAUCUAGGGUUGCACUUUUCCUUGCUCUCAACCUUCUCUUCCUAUCGCUUGUGACCUCAUGUAGCUACUGUCCCAAACCCAAACCGCCGCCCAAGAAGCGGACUCCAAAGGCAUGCCCACCACCAUACACUUACACUCCACCAACAGGAACCGGUGGGAAAUGUCCUAUCGACGCCCUCAAACUCGGCGUCUGUGCAAACAUCCUCAAUGGUUUGAUCAACGUAGUCAUCGGCACUCCACCCAAGACACCAUGCUGUAAUCUCAUAGAUGGGCUUGCUGAUCUCGAGGCCGCCGUCUGUCUUUGCACUGCCAUUAAGGCUAAUGUUCUUGGGAUCAACCUCAAUCUCCCGGUUUCUCUCAGCCUGCUUGUUAAUUACUGUGGAAAGAAGAUUCCUUCCGGCUUCCAGUGCCCGUAAUCAUACCGGCCGUACGUACGUACACAUUCACAAUCACAGUUCGUGAAUCAUCGAUCUAUCUGGUUAAUAUAUUUUUAGUCGUUGUGUUUGUUUGCAUUGGGGUUCGAUUAUUGAUUGGUGUGAAUGUAAAAUGGAGUUGUUUUUAUUUUCUUAAUUAAUUCUCAUCUAUUUUAGCAUCGAUAACAACAGGUGGAUUUCAGUAUUAUAAAAAAAAUACAGACAUUGUAAGACUAUAUUUUGGUGUCUAAUUCUAACCUGGUUUUAACCCUAACCUUAACUGUUACAAGAAAAAGAGAAACGACGUCCAUCGAUGACGACUAGUGACAAAUCAAUAAAAUCUCUUACGAUGAUUUAAAGAUUUUUAAAUAUUCAUGGUGGUGCGAGUCGACUCUCGCUGUCUACUAAAAAUUAUAUAUACUAUCUUAGAGAUAAAUUUUCCAAAAUCUGGGUUUGAACAUUUGAAUUUAUUAUGUGAUUCAGUUAUAUCAUUACAUAUUAUAAUAUUAAGAUCUUUAACACUAUUAAGGUUUUUAAUAUUCAUGGUUUCUAUUUAGGUGUACUUUAAUUAAAUUUGAGAACCCAACUUCAAAAAUUUCGAUCUUAACCAUUUAUUUAUUUUCAAUUUCAACUCACAUAGUUCAGAAAAGAUUACCCUGAGUUCUUUUAUAAUCAAUGAAUAUGAUCAAAAUUCUCAUUUAAUUUUUAAAUAGUGAAUUUUCAACUGAAAUUCGUCUUAUUGAUAUAUUAUAUUAUUUUGAUAUAUCAACGAAAAGAAACAAUUUUAAGUAAUUAUUGUCAAGUAAUCAUGAUUCAUAAGGUUGGAAGAAUUAAAUUAAGCAAAAUGUUUGAGUGAUUGAGAUCGAAACUGAAGUGAUCAUGAAUUCCGAAAAUGAAAUACGGAAGUAUGAGUUUUGUUAGGUCUCGUAGAGCAAUCGAGGGACCUACAAAUCUGUCUUAUCUGUUGAAUAUCGACAGAACAUAAUAGAAUUGACGUCAAAAACGUAUUUAAUUGAUUCUGCCUUCACAUGUCUUCCACAACUGCGCGCCACCGGAGUAUGAUCUGUAAUCAAAUUAAUGGAAACCCGUGACUUGUUUUUGUUUUCCUACCUGUUCCAGUUAUAUUUUCAUAUCCGUCCAUAUGUACCUAAACUGCUAAUUACCCACACUUACGACAGGACAUUUAUGUCUUUCGUUCUUACCUAAUAAUUCAAUUAUCAACAAUUCGAUUUUUAGGGUUUUACAUACCCGAUGUUUUUUUAUGAAUGGGGAUUUAAUUUAGAUUAGUAAAAAAAAAGUUUGAAAUACUCGAUGUUCAUUUUUUUUUGUAAUGUUUGUAUCUACAUGAAUAAUUUGAUCUCUAUUUAAAAAUAAUUUGGAUAUAAUUACAUGAAUUGAUCUCUAUUUAAAAAUAUCAUGAGGAAACAUAAAGUUAUAGGUUUAACUUCUAAUAUGUACAUUAAAUUUGUUGCAGCAAAAUUUUAUAGUAAAAUAACAAUUAAUCAUCAUUUCUUUUGCAAUAUUAUAAAAUAUACUUCCUCUUAUCUAUAACAAGUAAUUAAGAACAAUGACUCUCCCCCCUCCAAUGGAAAUUUUGAUGCAAGUCUGGGUCACACACCUUAAGAGCCUCUCCUUGAUUUGUACAAGACCAGCAUAUAUUUUCCAUGCGGAAAAAAAUGGAUACCAACUUUACAAAGGGAGAAAACACUCCCAACCAUCCAAGCACCAUUGUUGUCUUUUUCAAAUUAGAGAUUGACCUCCUGGAGUUCAUCUCCAAAACCACCAUUGUUUGUUUGAGAAUUAUCUCCAGUUUUUUGAAAAGAAUCACUAGCCUAUUAUUUACUUUUUUUACUGUCAGAUGAUAGUGAUGACUGAUGCUUAUCUACUAAAGUGUAUGAGUCAGGUUGAUCAGAAAUGCUUCCACUCCAUGAUGUUGCUCGGGAAGGGAUGGUUGUAAGGGAAUUGGUUGUCAUAUGAGUGAUGGUGUCCAUGCUUGAAAACUUUUGCAUAGAAUGUGAUGCAAGUGGUAGAUGAUGUGACAAGUUGGAAGCAUCAACGAAUGGUGUAGAGGUUACCACUGAAGAAGGAUCUCCACUGCUAGAUGUUUCACAUAUGUUUUGUGUUGAAUUUUCAGCUGUUUCAGGGGUGGACGCCAAUGGUGUUGGAACAAAAAAAUUACCACCAAUAAUAGGUUUAAUAGAUUGGUUUGGAGAUGCUAGGAAUGAACUUGAAGCUGUUACCUUUCCUGAACACUUAUUGAAUGUAUCAACAUACCUGAAAGAAAAGAUGCAAAUGAAAAUGAUUAGUAAGCAAUUAAAUCAUUAUGCUCAAACACCAAGCAAAAGAUAAUAGGCAACUAAUAAAAUCCAAAUAUGCAAGGCAGUAAACUGUAUAGAUUCAACAAGCAUGAUUGCUUGAUAUCUACCUUGACCUCACUCCCAUUCGACUUCGUGCAGAGAAUUGAUUUUGACUGGACGGUAUGGAUGGAAUGCUCGAAUUGUGUUGCAAAGACAACGGAGGUUUCCCUACCAUCUCCUCAUUUGGUAAAGAAUUUUGUGUCUUUAGUGCACUAUUUAUAUUGUAAUCUGGCUGUCCAUCUUGAAAAGAUGUCAUGAUUGGAGGUGAUGGUGGUGCAACUUCUUCAGGAAGUGGAUCCACACCAUUCUCUACCCAUCUUUUCAAGUUUUCGUCGUAAUAGAACUUGUUAUCCUCACCCAACUUAGCCUUCAAUAAAAAAAACCCAUCAAAUGAAUUCAAUAGAAUGUGUGCUUUGUGUAAAAUCAACAUUUAUAAAAAGUUAAAUAUAUACCUGCUUAUCAGGACGCACUUUUGAUACCCAUCCCAAUGUCUUCUGAAAGAUUAAGGAACCAAAAGAACCAAAUCGGGAUGACUCAGUGGUGCUAGAAGCUUUGGUUUUCAUGUUAGAAGAACCUGCAUUACUCAAUUGUGCCUGCGUUAAAUUUAUGCACGAAGAAAUAUCAAGACUUUUACAAUAUAUAGAAAUAGUCAGAUCCACAUAAAGUCUAAAACAGGAGAUUUUUCAGAAUAAUCACCUGUUUUGCGCUUCUACCAAAGUCUGACUCUGAGACACUCCCUUUGUGAAAAUUAAUUAUGUUGCCACCAGUCCAAUCAGUAUCCGUCUCUACUGAAGCUGAUGGUAUUAAUGUAGGCAUUUCCAUUGUCGAUUGACUAGCAGUAACUUUUGGAGCCAUUAAAAAAUUAGGGUAAUCAUUAGGUUGCUGCAUCUUGUUUUCUGGCAUUGCUGAUAGCGACGGCAAAGGAGGCGAACCAAUCAUGCGAUGAAUAGAUUUAUCGAUGGAUGUGAAAAAUUUACCAACCAAUUUCCCAGGAGCCAAACCUGUACCAUAUCCACCCUAAAAAUACAAAUAUAAAUAGUAAUUAAUUAAGGUUAGAUUAGAAAUGUUGGAACUUGGAAUUCAAUUAAAAUUUAAAAGAAUUCACUCUGAUGUAAAAUCUAUGCAUACCUGUUGAUGGAAUCUCAAACGCUCUUCGAGAGAUGAUGCUGACAAUUUCCACAUUUCAACCUCAGCCGAACGACCUAGAUUUUUUAAUAACUUUGAUAUCGUUUGGCAAUAUCUGCAGAGAAUAUUUACAAUUAGAAAUAGUAUGUUAAGUUGAUUAUGAAAAUAACGGGCAUUUGGGUUUUAAAACUCACUUGAUUGAAUCUGAAACUUUCCCGACCUCAGCUAACAUGUGAGCAUAGAUAAGUUUGUAUGGCUGGAAAGUCAGAAGCUGAAACUGAGAAUUUCCAAGGACCUUACUAUAUUCAUAAAAUUCCGUCCACUGUAUUAUAAAGAUUUCAAAAUCAGUUUCAAUCCUUGAGUGUAAUGACAUUUUAAGCUUAAAUGUUUUUUUAUUUAGGGCCAGCAUAUUUUGCUCAUAGGUUAUAUAGCAUAAUUGAUGCAAAUACAUUAUCGAAAAUAAUGUCAUGCAAAAUCUAAAGUUACAAAGCAAAAAAAAUCAAUAAAUAUUUGUACUUUGCCUAAAAUAAAUUCAAAAAAUAUAAAUUGAAUUGAAUUGAAUUGAAUUGAAUUGAAUACUACCUGAAUAGUUUUGGGACUAGCAAAUGUUCGGGGACAGUUCCAAUGGUCUGCACCAACAAGGCAUAAUCUUGCAGCAUCAGAAUAUGACUCGAAGUUUGCUUCAGCAACCAAGUAACAUGUAUGGGCAGCAGCUAUCUGCAUAAUAAGAUGUGCAAUACUGCAAUAUAAUUAUGUAAACCAUAAAAUACACAACUGGCAGGUACCCCAGACCACAUAGAACCGGCAACUCACAUUAUAGGGUAACGGGGGUUUUAGCGUGCUAUAUACAGGAAAUAACAAAAUAGGUUCAAAAACCUCUUUUUUGGUUAAAGGCCAUUUGAAUUGAGUAAAUAAAAGGUUUACAGCUAAUUUAUGUAAAACAUAAAACAGAAAUUAAGCAUAAAUUAAACUAAUUAUCCUAAUUGUUGUCGGCUAGACUUCACGUUGAUGUAGCUUGCAUUACCUGGGAUACCUGAUUGAAAGUGUUGCCUCCACCUGCGACUUCAGCCCAUCUCACCAUCGUCCCCAUCUCCGUAGCUUGCCUAUGAGUGACCUUGAAUUUGUCCGCCCUAAAGAAAAUAUCAAGCGCUUCCAUUAAUAAUUUGUCCACUACCUCCAGUCGAGGACAUUCCUCCAUUAAGGGUUUGUUCGUUCCUGCCAAAUAAACCAAUAUAGGGCCGCCAACACAUGCCAAUGUAAUCCCCAACAAGGGCCUCCCUUGGUCAUAAUAUUGAUACCUUCAAUUAAAUCGCCAAUACGUAGGGUCACCAGCCACCGAAAUUGGGAUGUUUAGGACUUUCCAUAGACUCUUCCAUGUUCUCCUUCUGAACAUGAGCAGGAGAUUCCUUGUAUAGGGGCAAUUGAAGUAUAAGUGCGUCUGUCCGGGCAGAGCACUGAAUCCUUAGGGUGGCAAUAACAUACACAAUUCGAAAAAAACACGAAUUUUAACACGACACGAACACGGCACGUUCAUAAUAGUGUCGUGUCGAAAGUUUUGACACGAUUAAUAAUAGUAUCGGUUUAGUGUUUGUCUCUAAAAAUACGACACGAUUACACAAAACGUAGGUUGACACGACACGACAUGAUUAUAUGGCACGAUAAUACGAAACGAUUAUUAAUUAAAUAUAAUAUUUUUAUUUAUAAAAAUAUCAAUUACUAAUAUUAACUUUAGGAAUUACUGUUUUUUUUUGUUUUGAGAAAUUAAAACUUUCAUUACUGAAAAAAGGAGGUUGGGCAUAACCCAAGAUUUCAGAAUAUAGGAAAAUGCAAGUACAGUAAAUGUCAAAACAUUGUCUAUCUCUUAUACAGCUAUAACCCUGACUAACUGGCCAAGGACUGAAGCCUCAAGAGGUUGGACUCCCAUGAGCGUAUAGCUUGUAUUUCAAUCUGUGAAAGAUUGUGCUUCUUAUAGGAUGUAGAUUUAUAUGCAUUGCUCACAUCCUUUAUAAUUUCUCUGCUGACAAUUUCUAGGGGCCUUAGGGUUUGUUGUUUUAAUCUUCUAUUCCUUUCAACACCAUAUGUGUCAGGAAAGGGAUACUAGCAUAGUCCAGUGUAACCCCAACAACUGGACUUGUGGGUGAAUUUUUGUAUUGUUUUAAUAAUAUCCCCUAUCCUGAUGUCUAUUGCGGAAGAUGGGGGAUUUUGCCCACUAAGUGUCCAAACAACAUUAUUAAAACAGCUAGUGGACUCUAGCAAUAGGGAUCUAGUGUAAUGACAGUUAAAGUACAAGUGUUGUAAUGUUUCUUCCUCAUUUCCACAUAGUAGGCAGGACGUAUUUAUGUUGAGUCCCCAGCUUUGCAAUCCAGUUAAAGUGUUCAGACUCUUGACCUUAAUUCUCCACAAUAACAUGGAGAAUUUGGGAGGCUUUUGGCCCAGAUCCCUAGAUUUAUCUCUUGUAAGAUGCCUUUGGGCCUUAAUGUUUCUGAGUGUUUGGAGGAGGCAAUUUGUGUGACCCUAUAGUUACUCAGGCAAUUUAUACAUUUCUCUAUUGUUUCCUUAUUAGCUAGUAUUGUUUUCCACAUGUGAAAGUCCAUAGUAGGUCUACACUCUAUUUCCCCAAUGUUUCUUCCUUUGAUGUACCUGAUUUUUAUCCAGUAUGCUAGUAUGGAGUCAUCUUGAGUGUUGCAUAGAAGGCAUUAGGUUGGCAUUUGCAUACCCCAUCCUCUUAACUUUUGAAAAGUCUUAAGGUGGUUCCAUUUAACCAAAGGCUGUUCUACUUCACCUAGCUGAGAGCCUGAACAAUGCUUUUUGGAAGAUCCAAAAUAUACCAAUCUCAAAUAUCUUUAGUUUUGUUUCUGUUAUCUGUUAUUUUGUUAUGCUUCUUAUGUUGUUUCCCCUAGAAGACAUUGCUUACUCCUGAGUAAUGCUUCUCUGUUAAGGGGUUCUUAUUUUAUGUUUAUAUUGUAAACCUGGACAAGGCGCACUUUAUUUCUAAUGAAAUUUUAUCUUCAUAAAAAAAUAUUUAUUGCCCUUCUUUUUCAUGGCACUUCGUAACAUAAUGUCUUGUUGUGUUGUCUCCAUUUGUAAUUUCAGGGCACUGCCCUUCAUUUUUAAUGGAAAAAAUGAUUUCCGCCAAGAAAAAUUGCAAGAUAAAAAUCAAAAUAAACAUACCUCUCCUCGUUCUUUCCAGAGGCAAUCUCCAAGAUGCACUAUAACCAAUUCAUCAUCUUUUGUUCGGUUUGCACAUAUUACAGCAAGGUUUUCUUCCCAGUCGUCCAACAUACCAUUUGCAAGAGGUUGCUAAACAUUAAAAUUGGAAGAUCGAUCAAUAAAAUUAGGAUUCAACCAUAAUAUACUUAAAAAAAUAUUAAAAUUAACGAAAGAUUUCAAUAUAUUUCGUAAAAGUGUGAACUUUUUAUAUUAAAUAUUCAAUAAAAAAUAAUGGCCAAUAAGAAUAUCCAAGACUCAAGAAAUAUGUAAAGAACUUGAAAUGACUAUCCCAGCACAGCAAGCCCGGGGACUUAUCUUGAACCGCUCGGCAUCCAUUUAAUUAAAAGAGUGUACCUGAUUAAUAAUUAUAUUAUUAUUAAUUUUCAUAUUUAGUUAUUUAAGGUUUCAACCUAUGUAAACUCUCUAUAAAGAGCCAUCCACCCCUCUAGGAAGAGUGAUAAAUAUCGAAAAUCAUAUUGACCUUUUGUUUUUGCUUAGGUAGACUAGUAGCUAGUUUUAUUUUACAAAAGUAACUCUUAAUAAAAAAACGAAGUGGGUCUUUCCCAGUUUUACAAUAACCAAAAGUAAAAUAUCAUAAUAGUUUUGCACCAGUCUAUACAUUGGACAAUAACAUCUAGGACUAAUUUUCCAAUGCUUUUAUGGCAUUAAUAUUUAAUUGCCAGAGACCCCCUAUCAGGAGGAUUGGAUUUAACAUCAAAACAGAAGAAGAUAUCCUUAAUCUCCUUGCUUAUUUUAUUAGUGAUAUGUUAGAAUUAGUUCUAUUAAUCAUAAUAGCUAUAUUCUUACAUAAACUAAUUACUUAUAUCUAUGGGCUAAUUAGUAAUAUUCCAUUUUCAUAUUGUAGUAUUAAGUAUAACAAAAUUCAGUUAUACUAAGUUAUAUAUAUAUGAUACUCAUUGUUAAUGGAAAGGGAUCGAAUAUCUACUUCUUAUUUACUAUUAUAUACUCUUAUCGAAAGGGAUCGAAUAUCUACUUCUUAUAUACUAUUAUUAUAUACUCUUAUCGAAAGGGAUAAAUAUCGAAUAUACUCUUAUAUAUUUGGUUCUUUGAUAAAGUUUUAUAUCCUAUGUGGACUCAUUGAGUUGCAAUCGUUCAUUUCUGUCUUGCCAGAUACGCCAUGAAGCAGCACUACAAUACCCAUCACAGUCCAUAGCAGCCUUCAUUGAGUUUGUCUUCCACCACAUGAAAUGAUAAAGUUUCAUUAGAAAAUGAAGUGGGUCUUUUUUUUGAAGUUGUUAAAUGUUUUCAUUUAGUGAAAAAUGAGGGGCAAUGCCCUGAAAUUACAAUGGAAAUAAGCAUAAGAAAUAUAAAUAUGGACAUUGUGACACUUUUCACACAGUCAUAUUGCCUAAAGAAGGGCACAAGGUAUGGCUAUCCCUGCUUCUGUGGCUAAGAAAGUGAGAAGGUUAGCAUAUAAAUUUAUAUGGGAUGGAAUGAAAGGGAUCUCAUAGGCCCAAAUGGUCCUUCCCAAGGGGGAAGGGGGUCUAAGGGUUAGAGACCUACCUAUUAUCACUACUGCAACCAAUAUUUAAAAAGCCUUAAAGUAUUGGGAUAAGAGUGAU